UGAUAUUCAAAAUUCAUAUGAUAAAAUAUCACGUAACACUAAUAUCAUGAACUGAUGUCGAAUAAACAUUAUGAGAAGUCGAACAACCAUGCUAAAAUAUUUAUUCACAAGUACGACCAAGUACAGUUCAAGGAACAAAUAACAAUCUUUUCUCAUGAAAUGAAAUAAAAAAGGGCAACACAUACAGACACCUGACCGGACUUCAGAAGCUAGCUCCAGCUUAAACCAGCUAUAGAACUCCCCACCUUUCAUCAUGCUGAUCAUCAGGCUUUAUCUGAGAUGUCAUACAGACACAUACAGAUUUUUCUCUGGUUUCUAUUGAUGCAGAACCUUCUCAUCUGCAUGUCAUCUGGCUUGACAUGUUGCAUAGGCUUCUCCAAUCCAUAAGAAUGAAGUAUAAACGCUAUUGUUUGGUGCACUGCCAACCUUUGCUUUGCUGGAAUUAAGUCCUAUGAAAGCUACAUCUACUUUUAUCUGAGAUGGCCUUGUUCUGGAAAUAACGAACACGUCAGCAUGACGUUCAGUAAAUGAUACUGUGGAAUAUAAAUUGAAAAAUCUUCAGUUGCUUUCCAGCCAUACAAAAAGAAAAGUAGAAAACUGAUUGUAGAAAGUGAAGGUAUUGAUAUUUAUUUUUUUCUAAUCUAUAUUAUUAUCAUAUUAACCAAUACAUUGUUUCGUUUUUCUUAUCCAAAUCUAGGUAGCACUGAUCCAUUCCAUAGAAAAUGGUGCAUUACUUUGUGAGGAAAAACAUUGAACUAAUUUAAGGCAAUGCUUGGUGACAAAAUGCACCAUAUAAAAGUUUGAUGGUACUGAUAGUCAGAAAAGACCAUAAAUUGCAAGCAAAGUAUCUUUUGAUUUAUUAUUAGCACCGAUGUUCCAUUAAAUUGCAAUAAACUUUAUAAAAAUAUAUGGUGAGCGCCACGUGUACUCUAUUUCUUGCACCAUGCCGCAGAGGCCACCAGCAACAUGCUCGCCCUGUGCUGUAGAGGCUGUAUCGACGCUCGCCGAUACGCUGCUUAUCGUAUCAGCGCGCGCGACAUGGAGGGUCGUGUAGUAGUCAGGCAGAUCAUCAGCUUUAUUUGUUCCAUAUCAAUUCUAUCAUAUUAGGUCGUCUGGCCCUGCAAAUGCAAAAGACAGGUUUGAACCACCCAAAAGGCAUGUAAGGACUCAGAAGCAGGGGUACAACCAUACAAUAUUUCUGCCUUGCUCUUUAUUUCUUUGUUGUUACUUGGAUAGUCCAAUGUAUGCAGAGCAGUAAGACCCAACUAUGCAACCGUAAAUAAAAGCUUCUUACCGUGAGAGAACCUUCAGAAUAUAAUGCUUCAUUGAAAUCUGCCGCAAACGUCUGUCAGCUUAAUUCUUUAAUUCCGCAUCGUGAAAGGUAACCUCUGGCUUCAUUGAAAUCUGCCACAAAAGGGAAACCAGCAAACGGGAAUUACAUUGCAGAAUUCAAUUGCCACAAAAGAAAUCUGGCGUUUUCUUAGAGUACCAGGAAGACGAUUGUAAUCCGGUUCUAUUCCAUUCCCAUUGAUAUCCUUGUGGUUUGGUGUCAUGUAUUUGCCAACUGUGACGACAAUACCAGAACCAUCAUGAAGUUCAAAUACAGAUUGGAUUAAACCCUGCAUCACCCUAGACAUGAGUUACCAGACACAAAAAGGGCAUAAUAUAAUCCUGUUGAUCAUAGGGAAAGAAAACGUCACAAUAUCCUCUUUUGGGUGGUUCAUGUCGGUGUUUUGGGUCCGACCGCACACCCGGGGUUGCCCCUCAAGGUGUUUUUAGGAGUAGGAUGGUGUCAACGACUGUAGCAAAAUGGUUCGUGCCGGUCGCACGAGGGACAGUGGACAAGAUUUGCAGGUUCGGGCCGCUUAGAAGUGCGUAACACCCUACGUCCUGGUGAGUAUAUGAGCGUGGUUACAAGAGGGUUCUCCGGAUAGAGGACGCAGAGAGUUUAUGUGGGUGGCUAAGUAGAACAGGGUCGAUCGUUCUGAAGGGGUGCCCCCUAGGCCUUAUAUACUCGACCGUGGGGCAGUACACGUGAGUAUGAUAACAACAAGUAGCUAAAAGAUAGUGAACCUCUUGAGUUUAUCCCUACGUAACCCUUGCCGACUUAUCCUCGCAUGACUCUGUUGCAUGGGGGCUUCAGCGCGGGAAAGUCGGGUCUCUGUUGCGAUUCAUUCGUUCGACGUUGUGGGCCGUCUGGGUUUGCACUAAUCAGUCUCACGUCUUCUUUUCUUUGUUGGUUGUCUUUCCCUAGGCCCACGAAAGAAUGACCUUACGAAUUAUUGGGCCCUUGGGCCUUUCGUGAGGCCUUUUACUUCUUUAGUGGACCCAGGGGAUAUCUAUCCCCCACAGUUCAAACCUUGCCAAAAGUCCUUUCGCCAACAAGAACAGCUUUGCAAUUGUCAUGAAGUGCUGAAGCAACCUAAAAAAUUAUUGGUGCGUGAGCUUUGACUACAUGCCAUUUCAUUACUGUCGGUGGACGAAAAUGUGUACUUACUAUUUCACUGGCGCUUGCUGUCCUAUUAUUCACCAGCAACUGUCACAAGAUGUAGAUAAACAUAUGAGACAUAUUAUGUUACAUUUUAUGAUUUAACUUUAAAUAUUGUUAUAUGAAAAAUCUUCAAUUUGAUGCUAGGUUUCUUAAAGAACAAAGACGUAGAUAGAGUCUACACUUUCUACAAAAUAGUUUCUUGUAAUUUCAUUAUGAUGUAAAAGAAAUCUAUUUGUUUGACAGAGGGAUUUUGUCAUUUAAUCCUUUUAAUGAUGUUUUCUUUGCAAUAAUGCCAUGAUUGGUCCUACAAGAUCAAUGGCGGGAUCAGGUAGAAUAAACCAAAAUAGGACAGUUCCAGACAUUCGUCCCUUUCCUUCGUAAGUAUAUAGUUCACUUGUCACAUUUAUAUAUGAAUGAAAAACUUAAGCUACAGUUUGUGUUUUAUAUAGUUUCGUGUUAUUUGAUGAUAUUCAAGAUUUCAAUAACUUACCACACGUAAAGAGUAUCUUUGCGAGGGUAGUUGUUAAGUUUCCUAGGCGUCAUGAUAGUCAACACUUCAUCCUACAGGAUAUCACAGUGAGUUACUUCAAGCUUUAAAAUAGAGUCAAUAUAGUCAUGUUGUUAUAAUAAAAUUCUUUGACUCAUACGACCUGUAUUCCCAUAUAUCUAGGGAUCCAAAAUGGAAGCAAUUUCAAGUCGCAAUAAUGUUCCACGUUUUGAUGCCUUACACAAGGAUGCACAUAUACAUUGUAUAGAGUGGGAUUCUGUCUAAAUAGGGAGGGGAUUCAAUUUCGGAAUAUUGGACAUGGGCUAGAGAUUGGACUGAUAACACAUACUAUUGUGGAGCCAUUCAUUAAGCCAAUCCAAUUUCCUCCAUUUCCAAAGUAUCUUAUGCCAUUCCAUAAGGUGUAUCAACAACCGCAUAAGUCGUUUGUAGGUAAUGAUCAUUCCUUCCAUAUGGUUUAUAUAUAUAUAUAGUACUAAUGGCUGAUGUAUAAGUUAUUCAAAGAUAACUAAUCACAUGUGAAUUGCUCAGACAUUAUUGGCAUAGUUCUUCAUUUAGAGCCAUUAAAGCAUAUCGGUGGAAGGCCGUAUAGAGAGGCUGUACUAAUGGAUUCCAGGUGACACUAAUUUAUAGCUACAUUAUUUUUUGAAAGUAUUAAGUAAUUGUUAGGUCUUAUUCAGACAACAUUAAUGUUUUUAUAGGUGGGAUCUAAUCGUCGUGGGGGUAUGGACUGACCUCUUGCAAAGAAAUGCUCUACGAUGGUCGUUAGCUAGAGUUGACAAUAACAUCAUUAUUGGAACUAUGUUGCGUCGUAACAAUAAACACAGUAAUUUCUCUUGUACCUAAAUUCUUUCAACUUGAACUCAAUUCUUAUGCUUAUUUAUUAUCCUAACAAUAGGAUGCUUGGAAACCUCGGAUUACAGCACCGUUCAUUUCAACCCAGAUCAUCACACUACAUACCACUUGAAGAGUGAGUGGUUCUUAUACUAGAUUUAUAAACUAUAGCUAAAAUUAAAAUGAUAAUAAUUUAAAAUAAUCAUCUUCUUACAAAUUAUGUUCUAAAUUGCAGCUAUUCGACGUUCGUUGAUUCAAAAUCCAAGGCGUCGUAUCGUCGACAAAUUUCUUGAGAACAGCCGGGCACAUCUCACAACUGUGAUAUCUGAUUGAGACGUAUUCUAGCUUGUUAUAGUAGAUACUUUGUUAGUUAUGAUUUAGAUGAAACUUAGUAGUAAUGAUUUGUUCUCUAUUUUGUAUUAGUCGUGUGUUCGGUCUCAAUGGUGAUCACUUUGUAUAAAACUAUGUGACCUUUCUAUGAGCUAAUAAAUAAGUUCACCAUCUUUAUUCUUCAUUCAUCUUUCUUCAUCAUUGUUAGCAUGGUUCUUGAUCUAUACAAACCUAUGUCAUUUGCAUUUAGUCCACUGUAAUCCUUGGCCUGGUAAUCACAAAACUAUUAAAAACAAUAUCCGCUUACGAAAGAUAUGUGGAAAAUGCGGUAGGAACGACAUAAUGAUGAUAGCAUUUUUGCAAAUUGAAAGAACAAAAAAAUUGCUCACCGAAGAGGAUCACUUCAUUCUUCAUCUCAAAACACUCCAGACGAUGCAGCAGUUUUGGAACAAAAACUUGAACCUUGCAACAAAGUAACACUUGAGACGGGUGUUUCCUUCUUUAACUGAAGGCACUCAGAUCAUACGGCACUCUUGGAAAAAAAUGAAACCUUUCAAAAACUAAACCAGCAAAUAUCACCUCUUCCCUUUUUUUUACGAAACUCGCCAGCGCCUCUUCGAGGGGGAGGCAGAAGCAAGAUAACACUUAAACGACAGUAAACAAUACACAAACCAGUUAAAAAUAUGAAAAAUCACCCAUUACAAGAGCUGUAGGCUGUAGCAUGGUUAUUAACACACAACUGACCUCAUAUGAACAUAUCAUGAGACAACAUUAGUACAAUUAACCGUGAAAAAUGCAUAAUAUUAAUGUUACAUCGUCAAAUAAAUAGAGAUAAUAACAUAUGCAUUCUGGCUUUUACAUGUUGAAUUUAUGGACAUCUACUACAUAUGAGAUUGCUCAACCUAUCCGAGCAUUUAAAUGGAAAACAACUUCCUGCAAUCAUUAAUUAAGAGAUUCGAGUAUACACCACACUCCACUGCACUAAUAUUCUUAGCAGCAUCAAUUGAACAUAAUCACAAAAGGACUGGCAAGAAGAUGUAGAGUAAGAUAACAUUCUUGGUAGGCAUAGAACAUAAUCUUACUGGAAAAAUAUAUUGUUUUAUUGUUUUCCUCUUCGUUUUAUUUUUCUUUCUUCUUGCUCUGUUGUUCAGUCAGUCUGUCAUCCCCAUAAACCAGUUCUAGAUAGUAGUACGAAAGGCAUUUUCCUCUUCACACUCUUGGUUGCUGCCUUGGCCCCUCCUCAACCCUGUUUUACUUGACUUCAGCUUUGACAAUAUAUUAGUCAGUACUCCAUAAUCCAUAUCCAAAUUCCACACACGAGACAUAUAUCAUAAGCACAAGGGGAGAAAGAAAUUUCAGAUAACAUAUAAUUUCAAAUGACAGAUAAUGCCAUGUUCAUGAAUCUUGAUAACAGCAACAACAUGACACGACAUUAAAGUAUCAUCUGCAGCACAUGACAAGAAUUGCAUGAUCCACGCUUCCACAUGUCAAACCAGAGUAUAGUGGUGUCAAAAGGGCCGAAAACAAGAAAAGGAGGAUAUGAGAACAAAUAAUGAGCAUAGAAGAACAAUAUUGUUAUUGAGUGUUGUUUGCGCAGGUCCUCAAUUUAUUGAACCAUAUCAUUGCCUCAGUACUUGUAGAUUGACAUGUCUAACUGUUGACAAGAACUAAGCUUAAGAGAGAGAACAAAUGACCAAAUUGUCUUUGCACGAGCAAAUAAUUAUACUAUAAUAAAUCAGAAGUACUUUAAUUUUGUAUAUACGAUAAGCUUUAGAUAGGGACUUCUUCUUCUGUGGCGGAGGGUCUCCAGGAAUUCACCAGCAAGGGAGAUCACAAACCAACACUUGGCCACAUGAAUGAAUGCCCUCAAGGCAGACAACUUGUGUGAUGUAGAGGCCAAGCAAAGCUGAUAAGAGCAUAACGCUAUGUAUUCUAGCUACAGCUAGGAAGCAAGAGCAUAACGCUAUGCAUUCUAGCUACAUCUAGGAAGCAAGGCUCUGACCUAUUAGAAUUAGAAAAAUCAGGUACUACACCACAGGGACAGAGGAAAAUAAAAAAGGGUUAUUAUGCACAUGAUUACACCUGCAAACCUCAUAUCAAUCUGUCAUUGUUCCCUCAGCACCGGAGAUCAUGAAGUGUGACCAUCAUAUCCAUGAAGCAUGAACUAUAGAAAUAGGGGAUGUCUACUUUGUAACCUGAAAAUAAAACACAAAUAAGCACUAAAGAAUUAUGGAAUUCUGUAAAAUAAUGUAAAUUCCAGUUACAAAAAACCACUGAGCAUGCAGUUUUGGUAAAUCAAAAUUGAUUCUAGAUGUUACUAAAAUAGGGAAUCCGCUGAGCAUGCAAGUUUGGUAAAUUAAAUUGACUCCCCUGCAAUGCUAACCCAUCAGUGUCUCAAUUAGAAAAUUUGAGUAAUUAAAUUCAGAGCAUCUCUGAAAAUUCAAGUACCUAAAUUGUGCACUAAAACUUAUACAUCAUGCUAAGUAAGCAAUGUAAUUUCAAGAUACGAAUAUUGUCAGCUUUACCAAGAUCAAUGUCAUUUGAAGUACCCAAAAUAUAUUUGGGAAAAACACGCCCGUACCACUUGUUUGUGUGGAUUUCAUACCCUAAAUUUUAUGAUGUUUUCUUUUGUUCUACGACUAAUGGUAUGUCUUCAUUUUUUUCUUAGCUAAUUAGGAUCCAUUGUAGCAGCAUGCUUUUAGGCUUUAAUCUUACAGAUUGAAGGUAAACUGAAACAUAUUCCUAGAAAAGUGAGUAUUCCUUAGAAUUUGUUUUAGUAUCCACUGUAGCAACUAGCAACAUGCUAUUAGGCAUUUAGGCUGUAAUCUAAUUAAAUUCAGUUUCAAAAAGGAUCAAUCACAUGGAUGCUGUCCUAGAAGCAAAAAAAAGAACCCACAGUAAACAGAAGUUACCAAACAGUAAAUUCUUUUGUUCUACGACUAAUGGACUGCCUUCAUGUGUUUUCUUACCUGUUUAGGAUCCAUUGUAGCAGCAUGCUUUUAGACAAAAGAAUCUAUAGAUUGAAGUUAAACCGAAACAUAUUCCUAGAAAAGUGGGUAUUCCUUAGAUGAAUAGGAACUGAAACAUAAACUUUCACGUCGAUUGAAUUCUCGACAGAAGUACCUGGAGUUGGUUAGAUAGUCAUUCGAUAAGUACUAAGGGAACAAGCAAUUCUUCUGUGAGAUCCCAUUGGAUGAGACGAACCAUAUACCUCCAUUUGAAGUGCACCAAGUGUUCUUCAAUGUCUCCAGCAGCUGGAGAUGCUUCACUUUUCAUUUUUAUCUGAUUGGUUCCAGCAGUAGGUCCUGGUGAUGACUGCUCUCUAAAAGAUGGAUGCACGAAUGCACCCUCUUUAGAACAAAAUUCGUCCAACAUAUGUUGUAAAUAUUCAACAACAUCCUUUGUCCACUGAGAGCGUUGGUUAUCAGAACAUAAAAAAUAUUCAGUUUUUUAUGUUCUAGAAUUCACAAAUGACAGUGUGACGGAACCUCCCAAGUAAUUAGGCCCACCUACAGUUGUCCUUGUCUCACAGACAUCAGACAACCCUGUAGGUGCCCCUGAACUACUUGACAAGUUCGGUAUCUUUCCUUACCUUACCAGGAACGUCUCACCCGUCUUGUAGACAUUACAGAACAUCGGAGAUGAAGAAAUGCGGAAGCGAAUUACAUAAUCUUACAUUUAUUUCAAAAGCAAGCUUAAGUUACGUUAUUACAGACCAGACUAAACGUGAGUGCAGAGUAGUAGUAUUAUACAAACCAGGGAGGCACAAACUCCUCCCGAGAAGCUAAAAGCAAAAGAUCUUAAGUGGAGGAUCGAGUCCUCCCGCACUUCAGUCUUGAUUUUCUUCUUUUGGAACCACCUUGGCACAGAAGCAGCAAAAGUCUGCUACUUCCUCACCUAAAAACAACGAAGGGAUAAACCCUGAGUAUGGAAUUACUCAACAAGUCUUACCCGACUAAAGAAAAGACUCUCAAGGGUAUGCUGGUUAUGUGGGAGUCAAGGUAAGGCUUUUCAAUAUUCAAAGACUCUGUUUUGCAGAAAUGCUUACUAAAGUGGAUCCUUAAAAAUCCAGUUUUAAUUUGUCAAGUUAAGUAAAAUUACCUGCACUAGAGUUCUUUCUACCCUAGUUCAAUCACUGGUCCUGCACUAGCCAAUUUCUUAACAAGAGCCCAUCGUCUUUAGUGGAAUGCUACGUGUAGGGUAGUGACCAAGUCUUCAUGACCGCGAAGGUACGGCGAUCCGAAUCGAUUAUACUCAGCUGAGGAUCUCCAAUCACACGACAUAUGUAGCACUUAACCCUUGCAUAUGUCAACCCGCCACCGGGGUUCUUAAGACCGGAUCAGGUUCACGCAGACCGAGAGCACAGAUACACCACCGUCCAGCCUCUUGCCACGGAGGGUACACGCUACUCUCGCCACCGCUCCACGCCCAUCUCGUGUUGUCUUAUUCCGGCCUUAGUCUGCCCGAGGCAAGGCUUACCCAUGACGAGGCAUGUGACCAGCUAAAGGGUCCUCGAUCAACAAGCCUACAUCGAGAAGGUCCUUAAUCGACUCAGACGGAGACACUACACCGAGACUCUCUUCUCGUGCAAGUCACCCGCCCGGUCUCAACUUAAUCAUUUAACCCAAAACUUGGUACCUGGCAGAGGUACAUCUUUUCUGAUGUUGAACCUAUCAAGGCCUUUGAUAGAUCCAUCAUCAAGUUUUAUUUUCGAAAAACAUCCCACCCACUUUUGCCACAUCAUAUUUUGUAAAAACAAAACCUUUUGUUUUUCUAAAGCAAAGCUAAGCAUCAAAAAGCUUUUGUAAAACAGGUGAUCAAGGAAGGUAAUCAAAUUCAAGGAAGGUAAUGCAGGAAUGGUUUUAUCAAGCAACUCCUAUCACCUAAUGCAGCAAUCAAGUGAGAAAGAUUUUGAAAUAGCAAGGGAGGUGGCAAAUGCACCGGGGCUUGCCUUCAUUUACAGGUGAUUCGGGUUCGGAUCCACAGAUGUCGAAGUAGAAACUAUUCCCGGCCUGGGAUUCCGAAGGUGGUUGUACUUGCUCUUCAGUGACUUCUAUCUCUUCUUCACGUUCUAAUCAUAGCCAUUCACAAGUAUAAGAAUGGAUGCCAUGGGAUGCUCAUGAGGAUGCAAAGAUAUCAUAAAUUUAUUAUUUAUGUCUUGAAUACAACUUGCCUUCACGGAGUUCCGGGAACUUAGGGUUUCCGGAGUUGGUAAAGGAGUUCAUAGGGCAGGGGGGUGUUUUGGGGUUUGGUGAUCAAACAAGGUCCAAAUCAAUUCAAACUUUACCCAAGGCUUCUGAAUAUUGUAUAACACUCAUAUAAAAAUUUUGGGCAUUUUAGGACCUAUCAAUUAUUUUCUAAAAAUCUAUAACCAAGACUUUUAACUACUUUAAAUACCCUAAAAUUUCUUACUUCCACUAAAAAUCACAAACUUAUUUUUAUUAAAUACUAGGGAAAAUAACAAACCUAGGAAAAUUAGUUUCACCAUUUUAGCAUUUUUCUACAUUUUUCUACAUAUUUUUGAAUCUCUGCUGAAAAAGAAAAAGGAAAAGAAUUAAUAGAACCGGGCCGGAUUCAGCCCAGCGGCCCAGGUCCAGAGAGGAAAGCGUCCGCGCGCGGCCGCGCCCUGGCGACUUUGUAAAAAGGGCCCCGAGUUUUUGUCAAACAGCAAACGAAGUCAUUCACUGUUUCUAUGUAUCAUUGACAGUUUACACGGGGGUCCUCCACGUUCUAUUUCUUCGCAGACCAAGGUCCACGACGGCGUCGAGCGCGGAGAAGCUCCGGCGAGGUUCUAUACCGGCCGAUUGGGGCAACAGCUAGGUUCUCCGAGCAACAUAAAUGAAAUUGGGGCUACCUUAAUCAUUUCCCCUAACCUAAUUGCAUCCAAGACCAACUAAGGAGCUUUGGCCACGGUGACCGAGAGCAUGGCGGCUAGAUCGUCGUGUUCCCGGCGACUGGUGGUCUCCUAGUUUAAAUUGAAGGCUCGGCAAGCAUCACAGAGUAACCAGGAUGCUUAAACAAGGGAGAGAGAGAGAUGAACUAACCUGGAAAGGGCUGGCCGCGGUGAUGGGUGGUUUACGGUGGCGGAGAGGGAUUUGGGGCAAAACCAAAAUUCAGGCUCUCGGAGGCACGAUUGCUAGCGAUUGUUGGUGGCCGAGGGGGUGAUGGCGUUACGCAGCUAGGAGAGGGCUCAAUUUAUAGGCGGAGUGAACGGUGGCCAUAAAUUUUGGACGAGCAACGCGGCGGCCGGAGGUGAGGAAGAAGCCUGGCGCGGUGAAUACGUGGCUACUGCGGUGGCAAGCUUCCCGGCGACGACGGGACGGCCCAAGAAAGUCACGGUGACACGGUAGAACGCUAGGCCACGCGGCGUACGGCCGGGAGGCGGCGGUCACCGGCGAGGUAAUCCACUCGGCCGCAAAGAGGGAGAGAGAGCCACGGAAGUCACCGGAGUGAUCGCCAGCGCACGGGCGGUGAAGAUCUUUUAACGCCGCGAAGUUAUCCACAUCCCCGAGCACGAAUCGUGACGCCGGCGACGUGAAUCACGGCGGAAAGCCACCGGCGGUGAAGACAGCCGUGCUGGCGACCUUAUCUGAUUCAGUUACUGUACCAUGGGAAACACUUAUUCAGAGCGACUGACAGAGCACUUUGGAGCUCCAAUUUCUCUUAAUUCCAUGUGGCAACAGGUCCAAGUUUCUGCAUCAAAGUUAUAGUGCUACAUACCAGCUACAACUCGACUAUAAGGUUUAAACUUAUUUGAGCACUGGAUCUUAGUCUAGAUGUCCCUUAAUGUUGGAUCAAGGUCACUGUCCAACUGAAGUUCAGUCUCUACCUGCCUGACAGUCCAACUUCAGGAGUGAUUAUCUUCAGUUUUUCCUUAACAACAAUGCUCACACCUUUAAGCAAAGUUGUUCUCCUACAGUUGAGCUUCAAUUUUGAUGUGGUCACCUAGGGCAAAAACUCUAUGCUUUGAAAGUCACAAGGGCUCAAAGUUGUGCUCACAACACUGAUUUCAGACUUAGGCUAUAUAGAGGUCAAGUGGCACUUUUUGCAAAUAAACCCAAAACUUAGGGUUUUGCUUUCAAGUCCACAUAUUUGUGAACCAAAGGACUUAAGAUACUUAUUUGGCUUGUUUUUUUGCACUUUAGUCCAAAAGUGGACCAAUUUUGCAUAUAAGCCCCUAGGGUUUGAUUUUAGGGUUUUCCAGGGUUUUAAUUAGGGUUUCUGGUAUCCCAGGGGUACAAAAGUGAUUCAAGUUUAUUCUUAGGGUCAUUUUAUGACUUUUACCCCUAAGCUUUUAGGUUUUCUUAACUUGGGUUAGGUUUUACCCCUUUAACCACUAUUUAGGGUUAAGUUCCUUAACCAAGGUUCUAUUUGCAAAACACUUAAAACAAUACAACUUGUUUGAAAUUUUUGCCUAGUGAAUGCACUCUAGGUGUGUCAAACAUAUGCAAUGCAAAUGCUUAUGAUGUCAUGCUCAAGUUUUAGUUAUAGUAACACCAGGGGUGUUACAUCCUUCCCCCCAUAAAAGAAUCUCGUCCCGAGAUUAAAAUCCUAGGGUAAGUAAUGGUAAAGGAAACGCAUCACAUUUUUAUUUCCUUAAUUUUGGUACAAGGCAGGGGUGAUGUGGGGGUUACUUCUUUAUUACAACAAUUAUACAGACUUUAUAAUUUACAUGAGGCUAAAAAGCCUGGGAAAUUCUUAUCUAAGAAGUCUUGGGUCUCCCAUGUAGCCUCAUCUUCCGAAUGCUGGUUCCACUGUAUCUUGUAGAACUUGAGAGUCUUUCUUCGGGUGACCCUGUCCUUUUGAUCCAGAACUUGAAUAGGAUGUUCCGAGUAUGUUAAAUCUGGUUCCAGGACAACAUCAGUCACUUCAACGGUUCGAUCAGGAACCCGAAGACACUUCUUCAGUUGUGAUACGUGGAACACAUUAUGCACAGCAGACAAGGUUUCGGGGAGUUGGAGUCUAUACGCCACUGGCCCAUAUCUUUCCAGAAUAAGAAAAGGACCAAUAUAUCGUGGUGCAAGUUUUCCUUUAACUCCAAAACGCGAUACGCCCUUCAUUGGCGAUACCUUCAGGUAGACAUAGUCCCCUUCAAGAAAAUAUAAGGGCAUUCGCCGUUUGUCUGCAUAACUCUUUUGCCGUGCUUGAGCUUUCUUCAUAUUAUGGAUAAUUCUCUGAACCUUUUCUUCAACCUCUUUCACCAUAUCAGGUCUAAAGAAGUAUCUUUCUCCAGGUUCAGACCAAUUUAGCGGAGUCCGACACCGUCGUCCAUAUAAAGCUUCAAAGGGUGCCAUCUUGAUACUUUCUUGGUAGCUAUUAUUAUAUGAAAACUCCGCUAAAGGUAGACAUUCAUCCCAUUUUAGUGAGAAAUCCAGGACACAUGCCCACAGCAUAUCUUCAAGUAUUUGGUUCACUCUCUCAGUUUGUCCACUGGUUUGAGGAUGAUAGGCCGAACUGUGGAGCAGUUUAGUACCCAGGAAUUUAUGAAGUUCUUCCCAGAAUUUAGAUACAAAUUGUGGUCCAGGAUCCGACACUAUAGUCUUUGGGAUACCAUGCAAACUGAGAAUACGGGCGAUGUACAACUCCGCAUAGAUAUUGACGUGAUAUUUUACCUUGACCGGGAGAAAGUGGGCGAUCUUUGUAAGUCGAUCGAUGAUAACCCAGAUGGAGUCAAAGCCUUUUGCGGUUCUGGGCAAUCCCACAAUGAAGUCCAUACUGAUGUCUUCCCAUUUCCAUGUUGGGAUUGGCAAAGAUUGUAAUGGACCAGCAGUUUUCAUGUGUAUGGCCUUGACACGUCUGCAGGUGUCACACUUGGCCACAUAGCGUGCAAUUUCAAUCUUCAUUUUUGUCCACCAGUAAUGUUGCUUUAAAUCUUGGUACAUCUUAGUGCUUCCGGGAUGAAUAGAAUAGCGACUAAGAUGUGCUUCAUCCAGAAUUUGCUGGCAGAGCUCUUCGUUCUUUGGCACAACUAUGCGGUUUUUAAACCAUAUCACACCUUGAUCGUCUUCUUUGAAACACUUGGCUGUUCCAGCCCUUAUCUUUUCUCGUAUGUGCUUCAUACCCAGAUUAUACUUUUGAGCAUCAAUUAUUCUUUGCAAAAUGAUUGACUCAAGCCUUAACUGAUUUAGAGUCCCUUGUUGAAUGAUCCCCAGGUUUAGCUUUUCCAUUUCUUGACACAAAGUGUUCUCGAAGGUCUUCGCCAUAAGACAGUGGCAGGAAGUCUUACGACUCAAUGCAUCUGCCACCACAUUGGCCUUGCCUGGGUGAUAAUGGAUCUCCAGUUCAUAGUCUUUAAUGAGCUCAAGCCAUCGUCUUUGCCUCAUAUUUAACUCUGACUGGGUGAAGAUGUACUUCAAACUUUUAUGAUCUGUAUAUAUGUGACAGAUAUUUCCCAGCAGAUAGUGACGCCAAAUCUUUAGGGCAUGAACCACAGCAGCUAGCUCCAGAUCAUGAGUUGGAUAGUGCUCCUCAUGCCGGCGCAACUGCCUUGAAGCAUACGCAAUCACUCGGCCCUCUUGCAUCAGUACACAGCCGAGCCCACUGCCAGAUGCAUCACAAUAUACGUCAAAAGGUUUAGUGAUGUCCGGUUGAGCCAAUACCGGAGCAGUGGUCAAUAGUGUCUUCAGUUGCUCAAAGGCUUCAUUGCACUUAGAAGACCAAUUGAACUUAAUGUCAUUCUUCAAUAAACUUGUGAUUGGCUUCACAAGCUUAGAAAAAUCUGGUAUGAAUCUGCGAUAAUACCCAGCUAGUCCAAGAAAACUCCGGACUUGGUGAACAGUUGUUGGGGGUUUCCACUCCAGAAUAUCUUUGACCUUGCUAGGAUCUACCGCAAUUCCUUUAGCUGAUAACACGUGUCCCAAAAAUUGAAUUUCUUCCAGCCAGAACGCGCACUUGCUGAACUUGGCAUAUAGUUGGUGUUCCCUGAGGCGCGUCAAUACAAUCCGUAGAUGCUGAGCAUGGUCCUCUUCAUUCUUAGAAUAUAUCAAAAUAUCAUCGAUGAAGACUACCACGAAUUUGUCCAACUCGAGCAUGAACACCGAGUUCAUCAGAUAAGUGAAAUGGGCAGGAGCAUUUGUGAGCCCGAAAGACAUUACCAAGUAUUCAAACAAUCCAUACCGCGUAGUAAACGCGAUCUUCGGUAUAUCCUUGGGCCGAAUACGGAUUUGAUGAUAGCCCGACCUGAGAUCAAUUUUGGAAAAUACCCUCGCCCCAGUCAGUUGAUCAAAUAAGAUGUCGAUCCUGGGAAGGGGGUACUUAUUCUUGAUGGUGACCUCAUUUAGGGGUCGAUAAUCCACGCACAUUCUCAAGGUUUGAUCCUUCUUCUUAACAAAAAUGGCGGGACAACCCCACGGGGACGAGCUUGGCCGGAUGAAUCCUUUAUUCAGUAGAUCUUGCAAUUGAAUUUUCAAUUCCGCCAACUCAUUAGGGGGCAUGCGGUACGAUCUUCGGGAGAUGGGAGCCGUACCGGGCUUUAGCUCAAUUACGAAUUCUACAUCUCUUUCAGGGGGCAGUCCAGGCAAAUCUUUCGGAAAUACAUCUGGAAACUCACAUACUACCGGAAUGUUCUUGAUCUCCGGUACAAUGGCUUCAUAGACUCUACCAGAAGCUUUGGCUGGAUUGGUUGCGGGGAGAGUCAAAAGAAUCUCUUCUUGGUUAUAGCUCAACCUGACGGUUCUGAGUUCAGUGUUGAGGAUUGCCUUGUGUUGGGUUAACCAAUUCAUUCCCAAAAUUACAUCUAUAUCCUGGCCCUUCAGAACAAUCAUAUUAGCAGGAAAGUUCCGUCCGGCCAUUGUUACUGGCACACCAUAGGCCACUUCUCUAGUAUAAAUAUGUCCCCCAGGUGAAUGUAUUUUAAAUCCCUCCUUUGAUUCAUGGUAUGCAAUAUGAUGUUGUUCCACAAACUUCUUGCUAAUAAAUGUAUGUGAAGCACCAGAAUCAAAAAGAAUAAUUGCUGGGUGACUGGCCACGGGAAACGUACCCAUCAUCACCGGCUCUCCUUCCGGUGUAGUAGCCACUUGAGUGUAAUAUACACGCCCCGUUUUCUUCGUAUUCUUCCCCAUAGCAUUUCCUUUAGGCUGAGUUGAUUUCCCAGAUCCUUGCGGAGCAUUAGAUUGAUUUUGCCUAGGAUAUGGGCAGUCUUUGAUGAAGUGUCCCGACUUGCCGCAAUUAAAGCACCCAGUUGAAGAACUAGGCAAGGCAGGGAAUCGAGUGCCUGGGGCACCCGGCUGUUUUGGGGUAGUGGGAGCAUUGUUGGGGCGGAUAAUAAUAGGCUGCUUGAAGGGAAAUGAAGGUGGACGAGAAAAAGUGCGAUUUUGGUUUGAGGGUCGAAUCACAAACUGUUGCUUCUUCGCCUGGCCCUGAUUAGGCCUCUCACCACCGAAUCCCUUAUUCUUUCCAGAAUUUGUGUAUUUGGCUUCAACAGAUAAGGCUGUACUGACAGCCUUUCCAUACGUGAGGUCUAUGCAUGUGGCCAUUUUCCUUUGUAGCCGAUCAUUCAGUCCCCGCAUAAAACAGUUCUUCUUCUUUAAAUCCGUAUUCACCUGGUCGAUAGCAUACUGCGACAGGUGAUUGAAUUUGUUGAGAUAUUGAGUAAUGGUAUCUCCGCCUUGUUGUAACUUCAUAAACUCCUCUUGUUUCAUAUGCAGCACUCCUUCGGGGAUGUAGUGUUCACGGAAAGCUGCUUUAAACUCAUUCCAGGUGACUUGAUGGUUGUCAGGUUGAAUAGCCAUAAAAUUUCCCCACCAGGUACUGGCGGGACCACGGAGUUGUUGUGCGGCAAACAACGGCUUCUGCGUCUCUGAGCAACGAAGAAGACCAAACUUUUGCUCGAUAACCCGAAUCCACUCGUCAGCUUCUAGGGGAUCUUCUGCCUUGACGAAUAGGGGUGGACGAGUUUCCGAGAAAUCCAGAUAGGUGGUCUCACGGGGACCCUGCGGAUAACCUCUUGCUGCUUGCUGCUGGAACUGCUGCUGACCCGCCAUUUCCCUAAGGAAGCGGGUAUUAUCGGCGGUGGCAUUCACCAAGGCGGCGAUCGCCUCAGCUAACGUGGGAGGAACUGGAGGUGGGUUUGGGGUAACAUCCCGUCCCCCAGAAGUUCCUGCUGCGUCCUGUCCUCGAGUCCUGGUCGGCAUCUGUGGCAAAAACAUUUGAAGUUAACAUAAUGUGCCAGAGAAAACCUUCCAUUUUACAUUACUAUAAAAAGUAAUGAUACAGACUCGAUAUUACAUAACAGGAUACAAUACCCAUUAUACAAAGGUUCAACCUAUUAACAGGAUACAAUACCCAUUAUACAACAGUACACCCUACAAUACCCUACUACUCUACUUUUACUUCUAUUACACCCUUAUUCCUGCUUGCCAUUACUCUUGGCGGCUUCAUCGUCAGGUGUGGGAGUCCAGACAUCAACCAACCUCAAAGAAGGAGGGGGCUCAAAAAGGUCUAACUCCCCACCCAGCGCACGUCCCGCAACGUGAGAUGGUCCAGCUUCCGCCUCAGCAGGUGGCGCAGGCUCACUUGGGUGUAGUUGUGAGUAUAGUAUAUGGACUUCCUCGUGCAAUGUAUUGCAGUAAACCUGCAGGUUAUCAACAGUCGAGCUAAGUUCUUUAACACGGGCCUGAGCCCUUGCUUCCUUAGCACACAUUAGCAAACGAGACUGCACGGCCCAGUCAAGUGCUAAGUCUCGAUCAGCGAGUUGAUCCUGCAAGUGUCGGAUGUCCCUUCUCAGUUCGUUGAUUCUAUCUCCGUCAGCGACCCAAGCAUCAGUCCUAUGUUGCAGUGCUGCCUGAAGUCGACUUACACGAGCUUCAAGGUCUCCGAUGGGGUCGUUACUUCCACUGCUGCUGCUUUCAUGUCGGGGAGCCAAUUGAUGCCGAGGCACCCCAAUUGGUCCCGUAGACUUGCGUGCCGUUAGCCUGGUACGUGGCGGCAUCUUUCUAAGGGGGAAAAUGUUAUUAGUAAGAUUCUUAGCAUGAUGCAUGUAUAAUUACAGAAUCAACCUUAGUCGAUUCAACCUUCUAUAUGUUGCACUCUUCCUAUCUGGUCUUUAAGAUAGACUUCUUCAGAAUACUUAGGUAAGAAGAGAAAAGAAUUUUAGGUAAGACUUUCGAAACUCCUUUUGAAGAUGCCUCAUAAUAUCUGCCAAGAAGGGCUACGCUCCGAUACCAGCUGUGACGGAACCUCCCAAGUAAUUAGGCCCACCUACAGUUGUCCUUGUCUCACAGACAUCAGACAACCCUGUAGGUGCCCCUGAACUACUUGACAAGUUCGGUAUCUUUCCUUACCUUACCAGGAACGUCUCACCCGUCUUGUAGACAUUACAGAACAUCGGAGAUGAAGAAAUGCGGAAGCGAAUUACAUAAUCUUACAUUUAUUUCAAAAGCAAGCUUAAGUUACGUUAUUACAGACCAGACUAAACGUGAGUGCAGAGUAGUAGUAUUAUACAAACCAGGGAGGCACAAACUCCUCCCGAGAAGCUAAAAGCAAAAGAUCUUAAGUGGAGGAUCGAGUCCUCCCGCACUUCAGUCUUGAUUUUCUUCUUUUGGAACCACCUUGGCACAGAAGCAGCAAAAGUCUGCUACUUCCUCACCUAAAAACAACGAAGGGAUAAACCCUGAGUAUGGAAUUACUCAGCAAGUCUUACCCGACUAAAGAAAAGACUCUCAAGGGUAUGCUGGUUAUGUGGGAGUCAAGGUAAGGCUUUUCAAUAUUCAAAGACUCUGUUUUGCAGAAAUGCUUACUAAAGUGGAUCCUUAAAAAUCCAGUUUUAAUUUGUCAAGUUAAGUAAAAUUACCUGCACUAGAGUUCUUUCUACCCUAGUUCAAUCACUGGUCCUGCACUAGCCAAUUUCUUAACAAGAGCCCAUCGUCUUUAGUGGAAUGCUACGUGUAGGGUAGUGACCAAGUCUUCAUGACCGCGAAGGUACGGCGAUCCGAAUCGAUUAUACUCAGCUGAGGAUCUCCAAUCACACGACAUAUGUAGCACUUAACCCUUGCAUAUGUCAACCCGCCACCGGGGUUCUUAAGACCGGAUCAGGUUCACGCAGACCGAGAGCACAGAUACACCACCGUCCAGCCUCUUGCCACGGAGGGUACACGCUACUCUCGCCACCGCUCCACGCCCAUCUCGUGUUGUCUUAUUCCGGCCUUAGUCUGCCCGAGGCAAGGCUUACCCAUGACGAGGCAUGUGACCAGCUAAAGGGUCCUCGAUCAACAAGCCUACAUCGAGAAGGUCCUUAAUCGACUCAGACGGAGACACUACACCGAGACUCUCUUCUCGUGCAAGUCACCCACCCGGUCUCAACUUAAUCAUUUAACCCAAAACUUGGUACCUGGCAGAGGUACAUCUUUUCCGAUGUUGAACCUAUCAAGGCCUUUGAUAGAUCCAUCAUCAAGUUUUAUUUUCGAAAAACAUCCCACCCACUUUUGCCACAUCAUAUUUUGUAAAAACAAAACCUUUUGUUUUUCUAAAGCAAAGCUAAGCAUCAAAAAGCUUUUGUAAAACAGGUGAUCAAGGAAGGUAAUCAAAUUCAAGGAAGGUAAUGCAGGAAUGGUUUUAUCAAGCAACUCCUAUCACCUAAUGCAGCAAUCAAGUGAGAAAGAUUUUGAAAUAGCAAGGGAGGUGGCAAAUGCACCGGGGCUUGCCUUCGUUUACAGGUGAUUCGGGUUCGGAUCCACAGAUGUCGAAGUAGAAACUAUUCCCGGCCUGGGAUUCCGAAGGUGGUUGUACUUGCUCUUCAGUGACUUCUAUCUCUUCUUCACGUUCUAAUCAUAGCCAUUCACAAGUAUAAGAAUGGAUGCCAUGGGAUGCUCAUGAGGAUGCAAAGAUAUCAUAAAUUUAUUAUUUAUGUCUUGAAUACAACUUGCCUUCACGGAGUUCCGGGAACUUAGGGUUUCCGGAGUCGGUAAAGGAGUUCAUAGGGCAGGGGGGUGUUUUGGGGUUUGGUGAUCAAACAAGGUCCAAAUCAAUUCAAACUUUACCCAAGGCUUCUAAAUAUUGUAUAACACUCAUAUAAAAAUUUUGGGCAUUUUAGGACCUAUCAAUUAUUUUCUAAAAAUCUAUAACCAAGACUUUUAACUACUUUAAAUACCCUAAAAUUUCUUACUUCCACUAAAAAUCACAAACUUAUUUUUAUUAAAUACUAGGGAAAAUAACAAACCUAGGAAAAUUAGUUUCACCAUUUUAGCAUUUUUCUACAUUUUUCUACAUAUUUUUGAAUCUCUGCUGAAAAGAAAAAGGAAAAGAAUUAAUAGAACCGGGCCGGAUUCAGCCCAGCGGCCCAGGUCCAGAGAGGAAAGCGUCCGCGCGCGGCCGCGCCCUGGCGACUUUGUAAAAAGGGCCCCGAGUUUUUGUCAAACAGCAAACGAAGUCAUUCACUGUUUCUACGUAUCACUGACAGUUUACACGGGGGUCCUCCACGUUCUAUUUCUUCGCAGACCAAGGUCCACGACGGCGUCGAGCGCGGAGAAGCUCCGGCGAGGUUCUAUACCGGCCGAUUGGGGCAACAGCUAGGUUCUCCGAGCAACAUAAAUGAAAUUGGGGCUACCUUAAUCAUUUCCCCUAACCUAAUUGCAUCCAAGACCAACUAAGGAGCUUUGGCCACGGUGACCGAGAGCAUGGCGGCUAGAUCGUCGUGUUCCCGGCGACUGGUGGUCUCCUAGUUUAAAUUGAAGGCUCGGCAAGCAUCACAGAGUAACCAGGAUGCUUAAACAAGGGAGAGAGAGAUGAACUAACCUGGAAAGGGCUGGCCGCGGUGAUGGGUGGUUUACGGUGGCGGAGAGGGAUUUGGGGCAAAACCAAAAUUCAGGCUCUCGGAGGCACGAUUGCUAGCGAUUGUUGGUGGCCGAGGGGGUGAUGGCGUUACGCAGCUAGGGGAGGGCUCAAUUUAUAGGCGGAGUGAACGGUGGCCGUAAAUUUUGGACGAGCAACGCGGCGGCCGGAGGUGAGGAAGAAGCCUGGCGCGGUGAAUACGUGGCUACUGCGGUGGCAAGCUUCCCGGCGACGACGGGACGGCCCAAGAAAGUCACGGUGACACGGUAGAACGCUAGGCCACGCGGCGUACGGCCGGGAGGCGGCGGUCACCGGCGAGGUAAUCCACUCGGCCGCAAAGAGGGAGAGAGAGCCACGGAAGUCACCGGAGUGAUCGCCAGCGCACGGGCGGUGAAGAUCUUUUAACGCCGCGAAGUUAUCCACAUCCCCGAGCACGAAUCGUGACGCCGGCGACGUGAAUCACGGCGGAAAGCCACCGGCGGUGAAGACAGCCGUGCUGGCGACCUUAUCUGAUUCAGUUACUGUACCAUGGGAAACACUUAUUUAGAGCGACUGACAGAGCACUUUGGAGCUCCAAUUUCUCUUAAUUCCAUGUGGCAACAGGUCCAAGUUUCUGCAUCAAAGUUAUAGUGCUACAUACCAGCUACAACUCGACUAUAAGGUUUAAACUUAUUUGAGCACUGGAUCUUAGUCUAGAUGUCCCUUAAUGUUGGAUCAAGGUCACUGUCCAACUGAAGUUCAGUCUCUACCUGCCUGACAGUCCAACUUCAGGAGUGAUUAUCUUCAGUUUUUCCUUAACAACAAUGCUCACACCUUUAAGCAAAGUUGUUCUCCUACAGUUGAGCUUCAAUUUUGAUGUGGUCACCUAGGGCAAAAACUCUAUGCUUUGAAAGUCACAAGGGCUCAAAGUUGUGCUCACAACACUGAUUUCAGACUUAGGCUAUAUAGAGGUCAAGUGGCACUUUUUGCAAAUAAACCCAAAACUUAGGGUUUUGCUUUCAAGUCCACAUAUUUGUGAACCAAAGGACUUAAGAUACUUAUUUGGCUUGUUUUUUUGCACUUUAGUCCAAAAGUGGACCAAUUUUGCAUAUAAGCCCCUAGGGUUUGAUUUUAUGGUUUUCCAGGGUUUUAAUUAGGGUUUCUGGUAUCCCAGGGGUACAAAAGUGAUUCAAGUUUAUUCUUAGGGUCAUUUUAUGACUUUUACCCCUAAGCUUUUAGGUUUUCUUAACUUGGGUUAAGUUUUACCCCUUUAACCACUAUUUAGGGUUAAGUUCCUUAACCAAGGUUCUAUUUGCAAAACACUUAAAACAAUACAACUUGUUUGAAAUUUUUGCCUAGUGAAUGCACUCUAGGUGUGUCAAACAUAUGCAAUGCAAAUGCUUAUGAUGUCAUGCUCAAGUUUUAGUUAUAGUAACACCAGGGGUGUUACAGACAGCCCACAUUAUCUGCUUUUUAAAUUUCAGGUAACCUGAAUUUGAUCAAACCAGAUGGAUGGGAUACACAUGUAACUGAUUAAAUUAUAAAAGCUCCUUAAAUAUCCCAUAUUUAUUGUCUUAAGGGAAAGAGACCUAAUUGAAAUCAACUUACUGGAGAUUACGCCUACGGAUGGUAGACUCUUCAUCAUCGCCUAGAAGAAGUGUCCUCUAGAGAAAAGUCAAUUAGAAACCGAUAGCCAAGUUAUAAUGGCACCUGCGAUGCUCUAAAAACGUGGUAGGGUGCCUACAUGUCAUUUUCUUGCUAAUUUUGCCAGGGAAAUUGCAAAAAACUAAAGCAGCAUUAGUUUCAAUGGUGCUUUUGAACUUAAAUGAGUACAUAAAAAACCUCUGAGAAGACAUACUGCAUAUAAAGAAUAUGUCCUUAAAAUUUAACAUGAAUUCUUAAUCUUUCACAUUGCAUUGGUGAUUGGUGACACUCUAGGGGCCUGUUUGGUUGCUACCUUGCCAGGCAGCUCGCCGGCCAGGCAAUUAUCCUAGCCCCAUGCGACCAAAAUCGGACGCCUGGGAUGGAUUCCUGGGCCAGGCAGCUCCGUCCAGGAGCCAUCCAAAUAAGCCCUAGAAGCAUGUACCACUCAGACAACUCAUCAUUUGGAUUAAUAUCAUCAAAGUCCAGGCAUAAUCACGUACCUCCUCUUCAGCAGCUUGUCUAAUGUUGUCUUUUGCUUAUAAGUUAGCAUUCCUCAGGCUAAUACGAAGCCUGCUAAAAUGUUCAAGGUUUAUAUAAAAAAGAAGGCUAAAAAGGAUAACAAAAGUAAACAAACUCCAAGUCUCCAAGAAUAUCUUACUUCUUGUAUUGUUCAUCCCAUGACUUCAAGGUUGCUUGACCAGACUGCACCUCAUCAAAAGUGGGAAGCUGUUGUGCUAGAAGAUCAAGCUGGAACUGCAGUGACUUCAGCAACUGCAGAGCAUCCUGUGCAGAACCAUUCAACCUUGGAAGAUUUUCAACAGCUUGUGUGACUCCAUCCAUCCUAAUAUCUUAAUGAAUCAAGAUCAGCAGAUUUAACAUGCUGGCAUGUGAAGAAAGGACAACUGAAAACUUGUAACAUAAACAGAAUUUAGUCUUGAUACAUGAAUAAGUGCACUCUUGAAAACUUAAGUUCCUUCUGGAGGAACAAAAAAUCCUCAUGGAGGAGGAUUUCCUUAGCAGUACAUAAACGAAUAUCCAUGGCAUGUGGAGUACAUUUCGGGUUGAUGUAAAACAUCUAUAUUCCUUACAAUGAAAGAAGUAAUUAUAACGCAACUACACAACAUGUACCACCAUCCUAAGCAUUCCCUUGUCGGAGACAUCCUAAAAGAUUACAUUCUCUAUAUUUUUUUCCUCUUCAACAACAUUCUCUAAAUCAUGUCUUUUAUACACAAAUACCUAUAUUAGAGACAUUUUUAAUUUGUCCUAUAAAUUUAGUAGACCGUUUAAAGGACGCUGCCGGAGGGAGUAGAGGAUGACCUCAUCCUCUAAAUUUAGGGUAUAGGACCCUUUAGAGGUCCGUGUUGGAGUUAGUCUUAUAUGUUGACUUUGAUUCUCAUUGAUUGUCUACCAUUUAACUGAACGUACCAAUUUGCUCGUUAGUACUUUCCCUAUCUCUAAGAAUCAAUGUUAUCUGAUUAGAUUAGAAAUUGAGUGUAUCUUAUCCUUUGGUGAAGUAUGAUAAGGUGAUUCAUCCUCUCAUAUAGGUUUUGUGGCUGCCUGAAAUACGUAGAUGGAUCCGCUCCAAACUAAUGAUGUUCGUUCUUCAUUAAAAGAACUGUCCAACAUCACUGUUGAAGGUAUGUCUACUAAUAAUAUAAGAUGCCUUAUUUGACAUUUCAAUAAGGUUUUAAAAAAUAAAACCUAUAAUGGUUUAGUAGGAUGUGCGGAUGCAAGGCAAUGUAAACGGGAAAAGGAAAGAGCACGAUACGCGGCGAUGAGUGAUGAAACAAAAAAAUGAAUUGAAGAAACGUCGUGCGUCACGCAACAAAGAAAAUGUUGUACACCAUGAGUAUUCAAAAGUGUUAGAUCCAAAGGAACGUAAGAGAAUCCAAGAAAGAGCUCGAUGUGCAACUCAAACUAAGGAACAAAGGACGUUGCGUAAUAUGAAACCAUGUCAAAAGAGAGCAAGGGAAAACUAUAGAAUAAGACAACAAGUUAUGCUAAGUCAGGACUCAAUCGCCAUUGAGAACCCUACUUUUACCCCGGAGCUUGUGUGGAGUUCAACAGAUGCUCAAGCACCUACUGGGUCUCUAUUUAGCUCCGAGCUCAUGGCUAUUCCUGAAUUGAUCCCAACUCCAUUUGUUCCUACUCCAUCGGUGACUGAGGAUGUUGAGACAAAGAUACUGACAAAGUCUCCUAGACGACAAAGACAUCCGUGUACAGUCCCUGCCACAAAUAGUGACAAAAUGACCGAAGGAGUAGACGUUGGGAAGCAGCACUUGACAUCUUCGACUAUUACCACCAAUGGUAAUUACAAGCUCAUUCCAUCAUUAGUUCCCUAAUUAUUCUUAGUGGUUAAUAUGAUUAAGGUGUGCUCUUUACAGAGGAUGCUGAUGAGACUGUACUUUUUAAAGAAGAUGAUGAUGACGAAGAAGGAUACCUAUUCGCUGGGCAAGGUACUUACGUAAUGUUUUUAUAUAGGAUAUAUGAUUUAAAAGUUUCUAAAGUUGUAUGUCUUAUCCCUUGUUCUUUCAAAACAAAUUUAGAUGGUGAAUCUGGUGAGGAUAUUGAGAUUGAUGAAACCCAAGAUGCCUUUAUUGUCAACCCUGACGUACCUGACUUGUACGACAAGGUGUAUAGUAACAUACCUGAAGAAACACAUUUGCUGAGCACUGUUGCUGACUGCGAUUACUGCAAAGCGAAGAAGUUUCAGUAUGAACCACCUGGAUUUUGUUGUCGUAAUGGACAGAUUAAUUUAGCCGCAUUCGAGACACCGCUCCAGCUUAGGAGGUUGUGGGAGUCUGCAGAUGCUGAUGCGAGGCACUUUCGUGAUAACAUUCGAUUUUUUAACGGCCAUUUCUCGUUCACUUCUCUAUAUUGUUGCCUUGACAGAAUGACUACAAACAUGGAUUGUGGUAUCUAUACGUUUCGUGCACAUGGCAUGAUGUACCACAACGUAAGGUCGUUCGGUAGGGAAGUUGGGGCAGAACAUAAACACCUUGAACUCUACUUCUACUAUGAUGAUCCCAGCCUCGAGCAUAGAUAUCGUAAAUGUCGUCAACAACAAUUUGAGAAAGACAAGGCAGUUAUUAAACAAUUGGUUGAAAUACUUAAGGGAAAUCCAUACUCUGAGCACCUUAGGAGUAUGGGGCACGUUGAUAACAUUGAAGACUACCACAUCGCCUUGAACCUUGACCAAACGCUGAACCAAAAGUUAUAUAAUUCACCCAUUACUUCGGAGGUAGCUGCAAUUUGGAUUGAGGGGAGUGAACGUCGAGGUCAAUUCAGUAAUAGUGUUAUGCUACAUGGGAAGGAUAGGUCAAGCCACGGCAUCCGUUCAUAUCAUGGAUGCUAUGAUGCACUAUCAUAUCCAUUGUUCUUCCCUAAAGGUGAACUUGGAUGGCAUGCCAAUAUUCCUAAGUCCAAUGUUUCCAUGGACGAAGUAGACGCGUAUCGCGAUCAACAUAGGAGAAGUGAUGCAAACAAUGAUGAUACAGGUUAGUUCUUUCUUUGUGAUUCUUAUAUAAUCCUUUGUUAAAUAUGUUUUUAGCAACACUAAUUAAUAAACCUUGCUGUUGCAGAACGACCUAGCCAUCUAUGCGUGUCUGUACGUGACUAUUACUGCUACAGAUUCCAAAUUCGUCCAAGUAUAUUCAAUCCAAUACUUCAUGGGAAGCGGCUUUUCCAACAGUUCGCGGUUGACACCUACAUCAAGAUUGAGAGCUCUCGUUUGGAUUUCAUACGUAAAAAUCAAGACAGAUUAAGGGCGGAUCUAUACAAGGGUUUGGUAGAUAGCUUGCAUGAAGGCGAGAACAGAGCAGACAAAAUUGGAAAGCAAACUGUGUUGUCUACAUCAUUUAUCGGUGGUCCUCGUGACAUGAGACGUCGGUAUAUGGAUGCUAUGGCCCUUGUGCGGAAGUUUGGGAAGCCAGACAUAUUCCUCACUAUGACGUGCAACCCCAAUUGGGAUGAAAUAACCAGAGAGCUUCUCCCUAUGCAGUCACCACAGGAUCGUCCGGACCUUGUUGUUCGCAUAUUCCGUGCAAAACUAGAGGAACUGAAGAAGAGACUGACUAAGCAUCAUAUUCUUGGAAAAAUCCGAGCUUAUGUCUAUGUCGUGGAGUUCCAGAAGCGAGGUUUGCCUCAUGUCCAUUUCCUACUCAUCAUGCAGAGAAAGUACAAGCUAACUUGUCCCGAUCAGUAUGAUCACCUUAUCUCCGCUGAGAUCCCUGACAAGAAGAAGUACCCUGAACUAUACAAGAUGGUUAUCAAGCAUAUGAUGCAUGGACCGUGCGGGUUGCUAAAUCCUAAAUGCCCAUCCACUAAGGGCCGUGCUUCAUGCAAAAACCAUUAUCCUAGAGCUUUUAGCAAUGCAACGUCUCAAGGAAAGGAUUCAUAUCCUAUUUAUAGGCGUCAUGAUGAUGGGCGUAAGGAAACGGUUCGAGGUUGUGAAUUGGACAACAGAUGGGUCGUCCCUUAUAACCCUUACCUCCUCCGGCUCUUCAACUGUCACAUCAAUGUUGAGGCGUGCGGGAGCAUCAAGGCUGUCAAAUACUUGUUCAAAUACAUAUACAAAGGCCACGAUCGUGCGUCUGUGGCUGUGACAGAUGCAAACAAGGCUGAUGGUGACGUUGAUGAGAUCAAGCAGUAUAGAGAUGCUAGGUGGGUGACCCCUCCAGAAGCCCUUUGGAGGAUAUUCAGCUUUGAUCUAAGUCAAAACUCUCCACCAGUGAUGCAACUGCAGCUCCAUCUUGAAAACAUGCAUAUGGUGUCAUUUCACGAGCGUGCUAAAGUAAAUCAUGUUGUCCAACGUCCAGGUGCUGAUAGGUCAAUGCUUACGGCAUAUUUUGAGGCAAAUAGGCUACACGAAGAGGCUCGGGGCAUCCUUUACCGUGAUUUUCCUGAGUGGUACACUUUGCAGCAGGGCAAGGUGUGGCAAAGGAGGAAACGAAACACGGGUGGACAGGUUGGUAGAAUAGUCUCUGCUCAUCCAGCUGAGGGGGAGCGCUUUUAUCUUCGACUUCUCUUAAACCAUGUGACGGGUGCUACCUCCUAUGUGGAUAUAAGGACAGUAGAUGGUGACACACUACCAACUUUUCGUGAGGCAGCACAAAUGAGGGGACUGCUUGAAGCAGACGACACAAUAGAUGAGUGUCUCAACGAAGCCGCUAUUUACCAAAUGCCGUCAGCACUACGAAGGUUGUUUGCAACAAUACUGGUAUACUGCGAGCCGAACGAUGUGGCAGAAUUAUGGCAGAGACACCUUGACUCAAUGUCAGAGGACUAUCACCGUAGUACUCAAAGCACAACCCAUGUGCAGCAGAUGGUCUUGAUUGACAUUAGAAACAUUUUGCAGUCAAUGGGUAAAGACAUAAAGACAUUCCCUCUCCCUGCUAUCAUUGAUAGAUAUGACGAUUCACAUGGUACUGAUAGAGAGAUUUAUGAGGAGGAAAGUAUAGUGCCGACGACAGAAGACGUUGCUCUGAAAGAAACCCUAAAUGAGGAGCAGAGGUCUGCCUAUGAUAAGAUCCUAUCUGUCGUUGACACCAAUAACGGUGGAGUGUUCUUUGUGGAUGGGCCUGGUGGGACUGGAAAGACCUAUCUGUAUAAGGCACUGCUUGCGGCACUACGCAGUCAGGACAAGAUUGCAGUUGCAACAGCUACAUCUGGUGUUGCGGCUUCCAUAUUGCCUGGGGGGAGGACUGCCCAUUCACGCUUCAAGAUACCACUUACUAUUGAUGAUGGUGUUGUAUGUAGCUUCACGAAACAAAGCGGGACAGCAAAGUUGCUACAAAAAGCAUCGCUCAUUAUCUGGGACGAGGCAUCGAUGACUAAGAGACAAGCAAUUGAGGCGCUAGACAAUAGCAUGCGUGAUAUAAUGGGACGGCCUGAGCUGCCCUUUGGUGGGAAGACUGUUGUGUUCGGGGGUGAUUUCAGACAAGUACUUCCUGUUGUACGCAAGGGGUCAAGGGCUCAGAUAGUUGCUGCCUCUCUACGGAGUUCUUACCUCUGGGAAUCCAUGUGCCAUCUAAAGCUUGUUCAAAACAUGAGGGCACAGAGCGACCCAUGGUUUGCAGAAUAUUUGUUGCGCGUUGGUGGUGGAACUGAGGAAGCGAACAACGAUGGUGAUGUUCGUCUUCCAGAUGAGGUAUGUGUGUCAUAUACUGGUAAUGACCGCGACCUUGAUAGACUGUGUUGGAACUUGCUCUCAGCAGCAAAGAAGCCAACAAGAGUGAACAGUGGUGACAACAGGGUUGCGUGCUCGGGGGCAAUAGCUCUGUUGAUCUAGCCUCUCACGGGCACUGUGCGGGGGUAUUUAUAGGUAUCUGAGUGCCCGGCGCCUUGUGUUAAGGACGCAUGUGCCCUCAGACACCUAGUUUAUCCCCAGAAUAUUCCCAUAAAGCAGGGUUACAAGCUGUAAUUACAAGCAUGUCUUUACAGAUUAGGCCCGUAACACAAAGGCGGCCACGUAGGGCCCGUUACAAUGGGCCAGAUCACACGUGGGCCUCGGAGCUGAACGAGGCCGCGUUGCGGGAUAACUUCGUCGCCGGUCUUCGUCUGGUGCCGAAUCGAGCGAAGGGUAUCCCUGCCUGUUCUGUCUCUGUCUGACCAGCGGUUAUCAGCGAAGGCCUCGAGCGAAGGGUGGCGUCUUUGCCUUCGCCCCAACAUUUGCCCUCCGAGGGACCAGUUCGACAAAGUCACCUGGUGCCGAAGACGUCGCUAGAUGGCGGAGACGCUGCCCUCGCUCGAAGUGGUUCCGCGGGGGUUUUUGAUGGGACCGUUGAUGGACGGCGUACUGUUGGAUUGCGGGUUUCCCGAAGCGUCGCGCCCUGUCGGAUUGCGGGUUUCCCGAAGAGCCGCGCCCUGCCUAUAAAAGGGGGCGGGGGUUGGCGCUGUUUGAACUUUGCCUUCCGCGCUCCGUGAAAACCCUAGCCGCCCGCCGUCUCGCUGCUCCUCUUCUUCCGCUGUCCUCUUGCUCGCCGGAGUUCUGGCUCGAGUGAAGCAGACCGCCCGCCGCCGCCGACGGUACGUAGCAAUGCCGUCUUCCUCUUCUUCCGCUGCUACUACGCCGCUGGCCGCCGCCUCGUCUGAGGAGACGUUGAGUAGCUUGAUGGUGGAGGAGUUGCGCGCCGGCGACUCUGUUGAUUUUGGUGUGUCACGGAUGACGUCAGCUCGCGUUGAAGAUAUGCAGCGAUUGGGCUACUUUGGCGGCGGAGUUGCUCGUGCUCCGGGGACGGAGGAAGUCCCCGAGCCGGAGGGUGAAUUGGUCGUUUUCGAGGCGUUCUUCGCCGCCGGUCUCCGCUUGCCUGCGCACCGGUUUGUUGGCGAAGUCCUGCGUAGAUUCAACGUUCAAAUACAUCAGUUGACACCAAAUGCUGUGGUGGCACUGGCGAAGUAUGUCUGGGCGACGACUUCGUACGGCGGACAGCCGUCGGUUGAAGUUUUUGCGAAGUAUUAUUGUUUGCAUUGGCAGAAGAGGAUGAUUGGGGACGAAGUCGCCCAGUUCGGGUCAUGCACAUUUACGCCGAAGACCGGCAAGACCACAAUGCAAGUAGUGGAGUUGGUUCCGUGCGCCCGCAACAAGUGGGGCAAUUGGAAUGAAUUUUGGUUUUACGUUGCUGAGGCUACUGUCGAAGGCCAUGAAGGACUCCCUGUGUCUGAGAUGUGCUCUCAUUAUUACUCUGCGUAUCCGCCCUUUGAAGUGGCGGAGGAAGAUGCAGACGAAGGGGCCCUUCGGUGCGCCGCCGGUCAGAGCAGUGGGUGUGAUUUAGUUGAAGAGUUCGUGGCGUACGGGGUGUGGCCCUUGGCGUACGGCUGGGCGCUGGGCGAAGUGUGCCCUCGCCAGAUGCCUUUUCACGGAGGAAGGGUGGUGCGAAGCCCUGCCUUCGCACUUAAUCUGCGAAACCGCGACCCGGCCGCGUUUGUGCGCGAUGCGGAGGACGGGGCGGUGCGGCUCGUGGGGCGUUACGUGCCGAGGAUGGAAGGCCAGCGCAGCUUUGAUAUCCGCGGGUCAAAUGAUCGUUUGAACAGGGUCUUCGAAUUAAAUCAAUUGCCAUACGACGGCUAUCCUGGUCAAGACGAAGCGGACCGCCGUGGAAAGAAACCGGCGGUGGAGACUGGAGGCAACCCUACGCUGGCGGCCGCCCCUUCCUCAAAAAAAGAGAAAAUUAGGUACUGCGAUGGGAGGACUUGGGGUGUCUGAUAGUUUUGCUAGAGAGUUAAUGAGGACGUGCGCCGCCCCGGGGGAAAGGAUGUCUUCGCCCGAGCUCCGGGAGUCUUCGGCUCGGAUGCUGAGGGUUACCGGGGGUUGCUGGCCUAGGAAUGUUCCUAUCCCCUGCGCGGCUGGCGAGGACUGUUUUACAUCUCGUAUGGUUCGUCGGUGGAGAGUUUUUCCUUACGGGUGGAAUAUCGGUGCUGUUGUGUGGGCAGUGAUGGACAAGGAUCGCCAAGGUGCGGCGCAAAAACGCCAGGCGACUGUCAGGCUGCAUGAAGCGAGGCCGAAGAGGCAGCGGGGGGCUGCGAAGGCUGCGGCCUCCGGCGGAGGCAAGCCGCCGCUGGCGGCGAAGGCGGGCGCCUCUGCACCUAGCAAGGCGCCGGAGGCAACGGCGGGCGCUGGAGGCUCCAAGUCAACGAAGGUGGUGCCGCCGGCCAGCGGAGUGGCGGAGGCCUCGAAGGCGGCCCGAGCGUUGCCGUUGUCGGGCAAGCGCGUUGCCGACUUCGGCACCGAUAUCACUGUAGACGACUAUCUUGGUGGUAAGUCGUUGGCCUAUUAUUAUUUUUAUAUUAUUUUUUUUUAAAUUCGAAGAUGUGUUGCAGGGUCGGACGAGGGGCAGCUUGCUAUGGUUGCGCCUGGCGCGGAGACCGCGACGGCGGCCAUAGUGCCGAGGGCGAGGGGCGAGGCCCUUGGCGCCGGAGGCGAGGUGUCGGCCCUCGCGGUGGUUAGGGACGAGGCGAGCGCAGUGACCCGCCGGCUGAAGGGAGUGACGGAGGCGCUGAGUCAGGCGACGGAGGCGCUGAGUCAGGUCCGCUGAGUUAUACUCUCUCCCCCACCUCUUUCUUUUGGGGCAACGGCCUUACGUACUGCGUCGCGGCUCUGCAGGUGGCUGACUUCGCCAGCCGUACUGCGUCGGGGGCCCUCACGGCAGCUGUGUCUGCCGAAGUCGAGAGACUUCGGACACAACAUGCUGACGCUGUCCGUGAGAAGUCGGCCUCCGACAGCAAGUGCCGUAAGCUGACGGACAGGGUGGCUGCCCUGGAGAGGGAGAAGGCUGACCUCCGGCGCCAGCUAGCGGCGGAGAGGAGGGAAGCCAACGAGGUCGUCGCCAAGGGGCAGGCUACGCAGGCGGAGGCCAAGCUGGCGCGGGCGGAGGGCAAUCUUGCCAAGGAGCUCGCCGAACAUCUGCAAGAGCGGCUCACCGCCCUGGAGAGCCGCGCGAAGGAGGCCGAGGCCACGAUGCAUGCGGAGGCCGAACGGACGCGCACGCAGCUUAUGGAUACAUAUCGUGAGCUGGGUGCGCGGACCGGUGACUUCGAGGUGCCGGACCGAGAGCCCGGGCUUCGCUGUCUGCACUGGGUGCGGGAGGAGCUGCUGGAACUUCCAGCCGUCGCGGGGGGGUUGAUGCCGUACGCCUCCCUGGUCACCUGCGAGGGGGCGAUGAACGCGCUCUCCCGCGAAGGGUGCCGGCACUUCGAGGCCUUCGACCAGAUGGAUGAAGAAUUUGAGCGAGAUAUCUAUAAGGUCGAAGACCCCGUAGUGAAGGAAUCCGCCGGGGCCCUUUAUGACCGGAUGUGGGGUCUAUACGGUCGUGAGGUGGUCAGGGAGCGGGCCGAGACUGCGAGGGCUCAGGUAACGUUGUUGUUUGUUUGGCGUUUGCUGUAUGCAGGUUGUGCGUGUGUUUGCUGAAUCUGUGUGUCUUGUCCUAGGCGGAGCGCGGCGAGCGGGUGGACGACUUCGGGGCUCUGAACAGCGCGCUGCCAGACCCGGAGCCGACCCUCGCGGAGGCUGUGACUGGGGUCGCCCUGGAGCCAACCCCGGAGACCACAGCGAUCGCGACGGCUGCCCCCACAUCCGCUGUGGCCGGCGAAGACCUGCCCCCGAAGGUGGCCGAAGGCGCCCCUGAUGCCCCCGCAGCUGCUGUGCCGAGUGCUGAAGAUCCCGCGGUGGUGGCGGCGGAAACAACGGCGGAGGCAGCGGCGGAGCCAACGGCGGAGCCAACGGCGGAGGCUCCCGCAGCGGUGGCGGCGGAAACAACGGCGGAGGCAGCGGCGGAGCCAACGGCGGAGGCUCCCGCAGCGUCAGGGCCUUCGCAGGUGGCGUAGUAGGUGUUUAGGGUUGGGGAAUUUUUGGAUGCUGUGCUGAAUUUUGGUUGCUGCGCAGGUUCAAGAUUUUGGGCCUGUGCACGCAACCGCUACUACUGAGUUUUUGGCGGCUUCGACCGCGGAAGGUAGGAAUGAAUAUGGUGGGUCUGUAUCUGAGUUUUUUGAUUUUACUGACUCUGGGAGCUCGGUUGAGUGGACUGAGGAGUCGUCGGAGGAGGACUUGGAUUAUUUUGCGGCCCUGGACGUGGCUGCGGCGGAGGCUUCGCCACACGCCGCGGAUGCGCCAGACGUGCCAGGUCCUAGCACCGGGCGCCGACGGCGAAGGGCGGUUGCAAAGCGUAGGGUUUGUGCGGAGGAAGGGGCUCGGCUUCGCAUGAGUGGGGCUGGUCGGCAGGAGCUGUUGUCUUUGCCGGCCGCCGUGGGUACAGGGGAAGGGGAACUGCGAAGUCUUUUUGCGGGUGAGGAGCUUAGGAUAAUGUUAUUUAAUUAUAGGGAGAUGGGAAUUAUUCCUAAGGUUGAGCCGAUGUAGAGUGUGGCGCCCUCGCUUAUAUAUGUGUAAAGGCUUGUAAGAUGAAGUUGUGUGCCCUCGCGUGCCUGUGCCUGCAAGGGCGUUGUGUACUUUGUAUGGUUUGGUCGUGCUAUGCUGGUGUGAUUAUAGUCGGUCUUAGCGCAGACGGUUUGAUGCUGUCGUUUCUGCUUUUGUUGUACUGGUUCGGCUGCGCCCUUAGGCGGCUUCUGCGCGGAGUCUUUGCGAUAGACUUCGGGUUUUCUCGCACUUGUUGUGCUUAGUCCGGCUGCACCCUUAGGCGACUUCUGCGCGGAUAGUCUUCGCGAUAGACAUCGGAUUUUUUUCGCACUUGUUGUGCUUAGUCCGGCUGCACCCUUAGGCGACUUCUGCGCGGAUAGUCUUCGCGAUAGACAUUGGAUUUUUUUCGCACUUGUUGUGCUUAGUCCGGCUGCACCCUUAGGCGACUUCUGCGCGGAUAGUCUUCGCGAUAGACAUCAGAUUUUUUUCGCACUUGUUGUGCUUAGUCCGGCUGCACCCUUAGGCGACUUCUGCGCGGAUAGUCUUCGCGAUAGACAUCAGAUUUUUUUUUCGCACUUGUUGUGCUUAGUCCGGCUGCACCCUUAGGCGACUUCUGCGCGGAUAGUCUUCGCGAUAGACAUCAGAUUUUUUUCGCACUUGUUGUGCUUAGUCCGGCUGCACCCUUAGGCGACUUCUGCGCGGAUAGUCUUCGCGAUAGACAUCAGAUUUUUUUCGCACUUGUUGUGCUUAGUCCGGCUGCACCCUUAGGCGACUUCUGCGCGGAUAGUCUUCGCGAUAGACAUCAGAUUUUUUUCGCACUUGUUGUGCUUAGUCCGGCUGCACCCUUAGGCGACUUCUGCGCGGAUAGUCUUCGCGAUAGACAUCAGAUUUUUUUCGCACUUGUUGUGCUUAGUCCGGCUGCACCCUUAGGCGACUUCUGCGCGGAUAGUCUUCGUGAUAGACAUCAGAUUUUUUUCGCACUUGUUGUGCUUAGUCCGGCUGCACCCUUAGGCGACUUCUGCGCGGAUUUGUCGCACGCGAGGGUGGCUAGCGCUUAGCCUCGCGGUGACCUCGGAUUGGUCGAAUAUCGAAGGACGUCGUCGCGGUCUGUUUUCGACGCAUGUUUUUGCGGGGGAUUUUUCGCACAUAUAUUACAUGGCUCCGCCUCGUUAAAAACCUCACCCCCCGGGAGGAAAAGAGUGCGGGCCGGUACAAGAUUGUUUUUUGGCGAAUUACAAGGGCGAAAUCAGCCCCGAUUAGUCAGACAAAAAAUUUGCGGAGGUUGUCGAUGUUCCAGGAGUGCUCGAGGUCCUCGCCGUUUGGCGUUGUGAGCCUGUAGGCGCUGGGGGAUGCUUUUGUCUUGACUAUGAAGGGGCCCUCCCACUUGGGCUCCAGCUUUCCCCUGGACUCCGUCCGAGCUGUUCGGACGAGUACGAGGUCCCCUUCGCUGAACUCUCUCGGGAUGACUGCGUGGUCGCGCCAUGCUUUGGUCUGGGCUUGGUAUUUGUUUAGGGCCUGUAGGGCGAAGACCCGGUCUCCGUCAAUAAGAUCUUUUGAAGUUGGCUCGUCCACGUCGGGGACGGCUGACGGAACUGUACGCGGGGACCCAUGCUUUAUUUCUUGCUGGGAAUACUGUCUUCGGUGGGCUCUUGGUGGGUGGAUUGGGUGAGGGCGAGGGCCUUGCCCUUCCUUGCGGCAAGCAGUGCUGCCUUUGCAGCCUCGUCAGCCUUCGGGUUAGCUCUCUUGGGUGCCAUCGCGGGUGGUUUGGUCGUAGCACGAACGGUGGGCGCCAAAUGUUGGAACUUGCUCUCAGCAGCAAAGAAGCCAACAAGAGUGAACAGUGGUGACAACAGGGUUGCGUGCUCGGGGGCAAUAGCUCUGUUGAUCUAGCCUCUCACGGGCACUGUGCGGGGGUAUUUAUAGGUAUCUGAGUGCCCGGCGCCUUGUGUUAAGGACGCAUGUGCCCUCAGACACCUAGUUUAUCCCCAGAAUAUUCCCAUAAAGCAGGGUUACAAGCAUGUCUUUACAGAUUAGGCCCGUAACACAAAGGCGGCCACGCAGGGCCCGUUACAAUGGGCCAGAUCACACGUGGGCCUCGGAGCUGAACGAGGCCGCGCUGCGGGAUAACUUCGUCGCCGGUCUUCGUCUGGUGCCGAAUCGAGCGAAGGGUAUCCCUGCCUGUUCUGUCUCUGUCUGACCAGCGGUUAUCAGCGAAGGCCUCGAGCGAAGGGUGGCGUCUUUGCCUUUGCCCCAACAGACUGAUAGAUGACAUUUACCCCAAUCUAAAUGAAAACAUGUCUAACACAAGCUACAUCACUUCAAGAGCAAUAUUGUCUACACGGAAUGACUGGGUGGAUAUGAUAAAUAUGAGGAUGAUCGAUCGUUUCCAAGGGGAGCAGAUGAUGUACCAUAGUUUUGACACCGCGGUGGAUGAUCCUAAUAACUAUUACCCAUCGGAGUUUCUAAACACGCUGACUCCUAAUGGAUUACCCCCGCACGUUCUGAAGCUCAAAGUUGGAUGCCCAAUCAUGUUGCUUAGGAAUAUAGACCCUGCUAAUGGACUUUGCAAUGGCACGAGGUUGGUGGUUCGUGGUUUCCAAAAAAACAGUAUUGAUGUUGAAAUUGUCCUUGGCCAACAUGCUGGAAUGCGAAUUUUCUUGCCUCGUAUACCCCUGUGCCCCUCUGAUGAUGAGAUGUUCCCUUUCCAGUUUAAAAGGAAGCAGUUUCCGAUAAGACUAAGUUUUGCCAUGACAGUUAACAAGGCCCAGGGCCAGACGAUUCCUAAUGUUGGUGUGUACUUGCCGGAACCAGUGUUCUCUCAUGGCCAGCUUUAUGUUGCUCUAUCAAGGGCCACCGCUCGAUCGAAAGUUAAGAUACUUGCCAUUCCAGUCCAUGAUGAGAAGAAGAAUAAGGGGGUUGAAAGGAACUCAGCGAUAAAUGGCGCAACAUACACAAAGAAUAUCGUUUAUAAGGAGGUCCUUACACCGUAGCUGACAUUGAUGAAUGCAUGGCAAUUAACAACUUGUAAUGCACUUAAUUAUUUUGGUUUUUAGGUGAAGAUGUAUUUUUGCCUUUUAUUUCUCUAUUUUGGCUCCUUUUUAGCUUCCUAUUGUUUAGUGGUCAUGUGGUUGAUACAAAAAAGAAAGCAGAUGAGCAUUGAAUAGAUGUUAUCGGUCUCUUUUCAUUAUGUUUCAUGUAUUGUUUAGUAAAUAGUCUUGGCCUUUGUACCCAAACAUAUUAUUUAGAUUGUUUUCCCUCUUGUUAUUUUGUUUGUUUCAAUGCAGUAAUAUUGAUGAGCAACAUCCUUUUUUGGAUCUACCAUUUAGCACAAGCAAACAAGAUACUUGUUUGCUACUAUCUCUUUUUUCUAAACUUCAAGUUACAUGUUUGCUGCUAUCUUUUUUUUCUAAACUCCAAGUUACAUGUUUGCUGCUAAAUUCUUAGACCUCUAAAUUGAUAGUGACUUUGUUUGUUGCUAAAUUCUGGUACCUCUAAAUUCAGUCAUAUUAAUACAACGAUUACACUAUGACAUGUUCAGAUGCUUCUUUAGUUCAUUCCAAUUCAAGGUUAUUAAAAAUGAUUCUGUCAUAAUAUAAAAAGUUCCCCCAGAUACCUUGUAAUUGUCUAGGGCAAACCUGCUAUCAGCAGGUAUGUUCCCUUUGGUAUAUUUUCCAGUUAGUACUCCUGAAGCUAGAGGACUCCAUGUAGUCAAUCCAAUGCCAUAGGUGCUGUAAAGUGGCAAGAAUUCAGACUGAACCUGCAGAAAAGCAGUGUGCUAUUAGUUCUUGUAAUAAAAACUACAUGCACAGGGUGAUCUGUUUAGAGUUUUUCUUUGAAAUCAUUCAUGGGCAAAUAGUGUUCAUUAUUGAACCAUGGAAUAUCAAACAGAAUACAUCCACUCAAAGGACUACCAAAGACAAAAAAAACGCGGAUGAUUCCAGUCAUGCAAAAUGGCAGUGACAUGCUAGAAUGCUUCAUCCUGGCAUGCUGGUAUUGAUCUGCUGAACUGUGUGAUUAGGUAUGCAACAAACUGUAUCCGAAUCACCAAAUACUGAAAUGAAAUAACAUUUUUAUAAUGUUUAACGGCAGGCCUGUUACUAUUUCGAGCUCUCGUUCUUUGAAAAAAAUAUGCUUGUUGGGAGAUUACUUUCCCUCUUGUUAUUUUGUUUGUUUCAAUGCAAUAAUAUUGAUGAGCAACAUCUUUUUUGGAUCUACCAUUUAGCGCAAGCAAACAAGAUACUUGUUUGCUGCUAUCUCUUUUUUCUAAACUCCAAGUUACAUGUUUGCUGCUAUCUUUUUUUUUUCUAAACUCUAAGUUACAUGUUUGCUGCUAAAUUCUGAGACCUUUAAAUUGAUAGAGUGACUUUGUUUGUUGCUAAAUUUUGAUACCUCUAAAUUCAGUCAUAAUAAUACAACAAUAUAUUGUUCAUAAUAUUUUAGCAUUUUUAUAAGGAGCAAUGUUGUAUCUUUGCAAUAAUGCCAUGAUAUACAUCCUAUAAGAUCAAUGACAUCGGGUAUACUUAAUCAAAAUAGGAUGGUGGCAGGCCUGUGUCCCUUUCCUCCGUAAGUUUAUACAAGUUCACUUGUCACAUCUAUAUGAAUGAAGAACUUAAGCUAAAGUUCGUGUUUUAUUUAGUUUCGUGCUAUUUGACGAUGUACUUUAUAUACUUAAAAUACUUUUGUCAAUAAAAUUAUGUUUGACACUUUCAAUCUGAUGGGUACAGACCAAAUCACAAUGGAUAUAGUGGUGGAGGAAGGAAAUGUCGAUGUUGGCAAUACUGCUGAACCAUCGUAUGAGGUUGUGGCUAGAAGUGGUUGUUCAGCACAAUUGUCAACUAAGGACACUGAUGAACAUGAACUGGGUAAGUGCUAUUAUCAAUUACAAAAAAACUAAGGUCUGCAUAAUAAAUAUUUGUUUGACCCUUAAUUCUUCUCUUGUGCGUCAUAGCUAUAGAGAGCGAGGAUAGUAAGGUCAGUGUUGGUAAUGCUGCAAAACCAUCACACGAUGUUGUGGGAGUAGGCAUUGACUGUAUUUUCAAUCAUUCUAAAGUGUCAACUGAAGCCGAUCUUGGACCACAACCGGGUAGGCUCUCUUAUCUACACUCCUAAAUGUAAAUAUUGUCUUAUGACUACUCCUAAAAAUGCUUUUGUCAAGAGACUUAUGUUUCAUUCACUUCUCAUACAGAUGUGAUACACUUGACAUCUUUGGAUGUUCCAAAUGAAUCAAGUCAAAUAAGUUCUGAUGUGGAUAUGGUAGAGCAGAACAAACAAGAUGCUUUGGACACACUUAUUAGAAUAUCACAACAUAAAAAACCAAAGAAAUUGAAUGUAGCUCGAGUUGUCUCUGAAGGUUAUUUUUUGUUCUUGCCUUAUUGCAUCUUAUUGGUUUUCGCAUAUAUCAUUUGCUUAUUAAGUAUAAUAUUUUUCAUUGUAUAGAUUAUAAGUGCACUCCAGAAGAUGUUCAGCUUAUUGAAUACAUUAAAACAUUACCGGGGAAACAAGUUGUGGUGGACAUCGACAGCGCAUGGUUAAAUAGAAAUGAUAUGGAAUGUCUUUUUCAUGGUGACAUCCAAUUGUCUGGCGAAGUAAGUACAUAUGUAUGUCCAUAUUAUAUACAGUAAUAAAGUAUAUAUAUUUAUAAUUAUCAUAUUAUACAGUAUGGUAUACAUAUUUAAAGCUAGCAUGUAUAUUUGAUCUGCUAAUUGUAUUCUUUUGGUGUACAGGCCCUCAGUGCAUAUAUACACUGUAUUAGAGAUGAAGAGCAUUUACUUCAUAGAGAAGGUGGAAAGGUCUUCUUGGAGAACACAUUCAUUUCCAGUCUGCUUAAGCGUGAUGGCGACCCUAAGAUGCUCUUAAAUUGUAAGGAAGACACAAUUGAACAAAGGGUGGACAACUAUUUACAGUCUGACAUGGUUGACCUAAAACUCAUCUCAUUUUUAAUAUAUGUAAUAUGUAAUAUAUUGGUGCACAAUACUUACAAAUUAAUGUUAAUGUAUGUUCUAUGAAGGUGUUCAUUCCAAUGAAUAUAGAAAAUUUUCACUGGUACCUGGCAGUUCUGAAUGCAAAAAAAGUGAGGUACAUGUACUCGAUUCUAUGGGACAACAAAUAACGGAUCGCCGAGACCUUUAUACUACAGUGAGUAAUCAUUUCUUUUAUAUUAUGAUUAUUUCAUCAUUACAUUAUUUGUUAUCUAUAAAUCUUGAUAUGUUUUAUAUAUACACAUAGUUAAAAGGUCUAGAAAGACAGAUUAAACUUGCAGCAGAACAUAAAGAGCUUUACCAAGGCAAGUGGUCGAACCUUGAUGUUGCAUCAUGGCCAGUUAUAGAGAAGAUCACAACACAAAUGCAAACCGAUGGGUAAAAUUCAUGUGACCACAACUCUACAAAAUUGGUUGUAUUUAUUUUCAUAUAUACAUAGAAACUCACCUGAUCUGUUAAAUUUCAUAUUAGGGUAUCUUGCGGGCUAUGGAUGAUAAACUAUAUGGAAUACUGGACAGGAUCCUCCCUAUCUGAUAACGUAACUCAGGUAGAGGACGUAUAUUUAUUUAUAGGAACAAUGUUUCUUUUGUUCUAAUUUAUAUACUUGCAUGAUGAUAUAACAAUGUUUAGGUUUAAGCUACCUGCAAUAUUAUGGGACUCGAGAUUAAACACAAAGAAAGGACAUCAAAAUCUUGACCACAAUGUGGAUGAAGAUAGAGAGAGUUCAAGUGAUGUUCAAAUAAUCGAUACUCCAUGUGAGUUAUCUAAAUCGUCAAAUACAUCACAUCAGAUUGAACCAUAUAUAUCUCCAUAUGUUCUGCCUGCUAAAGUAACAUCAACAAACACGCAAGAACUGAUGUUUGUAUUAUGCACAUAUAUCAUGGGGAUAGACAACGCCAAAUAUUUAAAGUAAGUUAAUUCUCAUUUAAUAUAGUAUAUGCAUGGUAAAUAUUCAACACAUAUGUUCUUGCUUUAACUAUAAAAACAAUUGUUCAUUUAAUAGGAAACAUUGGAUUCAGAGCACUAAACCUUAUCCAAUUUCUUUAAGUCUUCAAAAACUUAAAGAUAUAUUGGAUGUAAAUAAGCCGAUGGAUACAGAUUGUUUUAACAUGGCUGUUCGGAUGAUCGCAUGCAAUGAUGCCUUGUUCUUGUUGGAAGACAAAUACCACUACAUGGAUCUACAGUUCUGUGUAAGUUCAAGUAAUUAGUCUUUAUUCAUAUAAGCGUGUUCAUUAUAUAAUUAUUUUACUAACAAAAAGUAGUCCAUAACUAAAUUUGUUCGAGACCCUCGCCUUCGUGCAAAGCCAGAUAUCAACAUGUUGGCAAAAUUAUUAGAAUGUUGGUCUGACAUGGAGUACGAUGUUUCAGAUUGCAAACAAGUAAGCUAUACUCUUCAUCAUUUUUGUAAUCUUGUUUUUUCUCUUACUUGAACUAUUUUUUUAACUUGCAGAUUCUAUUGCCCUUUUCUUUCAUGGGUCACUUCACCUUAUAUGUACUUAACAUGGACACGAGAAGCAUCUAUAUAAUGGACUCCAUGCCUAUACCAUCAUGGUUUAAGGGUGAUCAUCCUAGCAUGCAUUAUAUACAUAAUAUACAUUAUAUUGCCAAUAAUAUGAAUGCUGCCAUGGAAUUGGCCAAUCCUACAUGGAAAGACGAUAUUUAUAUGUGGCGUCGUAUAGUACCAACAUGGGUUCCAAGAACAUUAAACUGGUAAUUUUUUUAACCCGAACAACUUAUUAAUUUUGUCUACAUAUAUGUAACAACGUAUUAUUUUAAUUUGUAGGGAUUUAUCUGGCUUUCUUGUUAUCAACUUUAUGCACGAUUGGAAUGGUAUAAGGUUACCCUGCAUUUGCACUGUGAGUACCCUAUUUGUUCUAAUACUUUGUCAAUAUUGUUCUUCUAUAAUUGAUUAUUAAUCAUGUUCUAUGAUAUGUAAUAAUGAAUGUGCAGAAUGGGAAUGACCUGAGGACCAAAUUCUUAGUAGAAUUAUUGAAGUACAAGGACAAUGAAUCCAAAGACAACAUUCCAGAAGAAAUACAAGAAAUUAUUAGGCACAUCAGAUAGAUAUGAUUUUAUUUGUAAUGAUACUCAACUUAUUAUCCUAAUUAAUUUUAUUGCCUUUUAGGUUCGUAGUAACGUUAGGAACAUUUGCCAACAUAUAUUUUAGUUAUAUGUUGCAAAUAUGAAGGCAGUUCAGAUUUCUGUACUUUCAACGAUGCAUUGGUCUUUGGAUGGCUCAUUCAACUUGAGAUGGUGAUAUUUGUAUUGUUUAACCAAUGACCUUAUUUUUUGUACUAGGAAUGGAACAUAAAGAAAUUUAAGAGUUGUCAUUUUUUUCAGUUUUUCUUGCAUAUCUUGCAUUACAUAUUUCUUUGUUUGUUUGAUAAAAUUGGUCAUUCUUGGGGUUGGGGGGUUAUUAUCAGCCAGCACUCAGUAUACAGGGUAUACCUCCAGCCCACCACUGAGCACUCAUGCAGUAACGGACCGUUUGGUUCAGAGCUUCCUAGGCAGCUUCAUUGCCAGGCAAGGAUGUCAUCCCCAGGUGCCCAAAAUUGGAUGCCUGGAGACGCCCACAGUGCCUGUCAAAGCUGCCUGGGAGCAAAGAAAACAGGUCCUAAAUGUUGUGACUUUGUGAGAAAAAUAUCAUAUAUAAUAUUUUCUUUUGUGUUUCGAGUCUUGUAUAACCUUAGACUGUUGUAUUUCUUAUGUUGCUGAAUACAGGUUAAUCAAGGUUGUUUCGAGAUGCCUGCCAACACUGAUUGUUCUGAAGAUUUAUUCCAAAGCCAUGAAGGUAUAAUGAUGUGGCCAUUUUAGCAUAUGAUUUUGCAGGAUGCACAAAUUUUCUUCCCUAUAACCGUUGAUUUAUUGCUAAUGUUGUCGCUUUGUGAGAUCAGCAGAAAUGCUUGAGAACACAGAAUUUUGGUCAAAGUCAAACUACUCCCAUGUGGAGCAUUUGGAGUGCCAUAUGGAAGUUAACAUGGAGCUGAAUGAAGGAGAACAAAUGAUUGAUCACGCAGAAGCUAGCCGAUAUGAAUUGUUUAGCAACGAUGAGAUAUACAAAGGCGGUUGUAGAUGAAACUGAAUUGUUGUUAACUUUUUCAUUGCUCACUGAAUAUCAAAUGUAUAUCUUGUAAUUUACAAAAAAAUGGUUAUGGCUUUUGCAGAUCUGCAGAACCAAUCAAGAACUUCUAACUUGGACAAUGAACAUUUUCCAAGGGAUGCAUCAAACCACGCUAAUGUUGAAGCAACUGGACCUCCAUAUGAUCUCUCAAAUGGUAUGUACCUUCAGGGAAAAAACUAUAUACUCUGGUUGGAGACACAAAUGAACACUCGUAUGCUGUUUUCCUCUUCAGGUGUAUCCUGGUGCAUGUUUCUCAGGUGGUAUAUCCACAGAGCACUCAGAUUGGAGUGAAAUUAAAUGGGGGAGUACAGAUGAGAUGCUUGGUAAUGCUGGUCAGGAUGAUGACCAUUUCACUCCGAUGGGCAUGUUUUGUCUUACCAAUAACACAUAUAUUCUUGAUAUUUCUUGCAUUGAGUCCAACAUGGGUGAGAGAACGGAAAGCAUUCGCAAUGGCAACAGUAGUUGCCUUACUAUGCAGGAAGAACAUUUACAGGCAGAAUGUGGAGGAUAUCCUCAUCCAGAUUAUAUAUCUGUUGAUAUGGUUGAUGAAAGAUCACUGCAUGAUUUGCCACAUGGGUUAUCACAAAACAAUGAGCAGUAUGAGAUGGAGCAGCUCCCACAGAAUAUAUGUGAAAGUGGUUCUAUGCAGAUGGUCUCUCCGGACCAAUAUUGUUCCUCUCCGGACCAAUAUUGUGAUGAUACAUCUUUAUCAGAUUUUUACAUGGAUGUAUCCUCCCCAGAGUCAAUAUCCUGUGAGAAGAACCAGCCUGAAGAUAUUUUUUUAAGAGCGAGUCUAGCACUGACUCUUCUCCAGUACCCUCUAGCAGAAAUUCCACCACAGAGGAUGCUGAUAAAUACUUAGGUCAACCAUCAAAAUAGUUGCUGGACUCCAAAAUUGUUCCUUUCAGCAACCAACACACGUUUAAGAACAUGGAAUAUCAAAAACCUCUGGUAUUGGAUAAACAAUAUGCAUAUAGAAGCAACAACUCUUCUAUUCACAAUUCAUCAAAAGGUUGCUUCAGUAGAGAUGGGGACAUGACUUCUGAUUUAUGUGUGCUAGAGGGUAAUAGGAAUCCUGCUCCUGCUCACCUAUGGCCUUAUCAGGGGAAGUUCCAUCAUAAUUUUAGCAACCUGUGUAUGUGUCGGCGUUUCGAGACAGGGGGGUCCCUAAGCCGACGAGUGAGUGUGCUGCGUGCCCCAGCCCAGAUGGGUCGAGCGCGUGGGCGAGCGCGAAGGGGGGAGAGGCGAGGUGGCCGGAGUCGAGCGUGAGAGAGGUGGAAGUCCCGCGGCCUUCGUGUUCGUCCCGCGCCCAGGUCGGGUGCGCUUGCAGUAGGGGGGUUACAAGCGUCCACGCGGGUGAGGGAAGCGAGCGGCCCCAAGAGAGCGCCUGUCCCGUCCUCGGUCCCGCGCGGCCAACCUUCCCUAAGAAGGCCCUGGUCCUCCCUUUUAUAGUCGUAAGGAGAGGAUCCAGGUGUACAACGGGGGGUGUAGCAGAGUGCUACGUGUCUAGCGGAGAGAGAGCUAGCGCCCUAGGUACAUGCCAAUGUGGCAGCCGGAGAGGUCUUGGCACCUUGCUGGCGUGAUGUCGUGGCUGUCGGAGGUGCGACGGAGCCUGGCGGAGGGACAGCUGUUGGAGCGGUCGAGUCCUUGCUGACGUCGCCCUGCUUUCGUAAGAGAGCUGGGGGCCGCCGUCGUCACAGAGCUUGUGGAGCGCCAUCAUUGCCCAUCCGGCGGAGCUGGUCGGAUGGGACGCCGGUCUUGUUCUCCGUGACCCGAGUCGAUUCGGGGUAGGACGAUGAUGGCGCUUCCUGUUGACGUGGCGGGUCUGUGCCCUAGGCAGGGUGACGUGGGGGCUCCUCCGAAGCCGAGGUUGAGUCUGUCUUCUGUUGCCGAGGCCGAGUCCGAGCCAUGGGGUCGGGCGAGGCGGAGGUCGUCCGGCCGAGGCCAGGGCGGAGUCCGAGCCCUGGGGUCGGGCGAGGCGGAGUUUCGUCGUCUUGCGGGUCUUAGCCCGAGUCCGAGCCCUGGGGUCGGGCGGAGCGGAGUUCGCCGUCUUCCGGGUCUUUAGCCCGAGUCCGAGCCCUGGGGUCGGGCGGAGCGGAGUUCGCCGUCUUCCGGGUCUUAGCCCGAGUCCGAGCCCUGGGGUCGGGCGGAGCGGAGUUCGCCGUCUUCCGGGUCUUAGCCCGAGUCCGAGCCCUGGGGUCGGGCGGAGCGGAGUUCGCCGUCUUCCGGGUCUUAGCCCGAGUCCGAGCCCUGGGGUCGGGCGGAGCGGAGUUCGCCGUGGCGCCUUUGGCAAGGCCUGACUGCCUGUCAGAUUCACUCUGUCGAGUGGCACCGCAGUCGGAGUGGCGCAGGCGGCGCUGUCCUUCUGUCAGACUGGUCAGUGGAGCGGUGGAGUGACGGCGGUCACUUCGGCUCUGCCGGGGGGGCGCGUGUCAGGAUAAAGGUGUCAGGCCACCUUUGCGUUAAAUGCUCCUGCAACUUGGUCAGUCGGUGUGGCGAUUUAGUCAGGGUUGCUUCUGAGCGAAGCCAAGGCCUCGGGCGAGCCGGUGAUGUGUCCGCCGUAAAAAGGGGGGCCUCGGGCGAGACGGAAGUCUCUCGAGGUCGGCUGCCCUUGGCCGAGGCUAGGCUCGGGUGAAGCGUGAUCGAGUCACUCGUGUGGACUGAUCCCUGACUUAAUCGUACCCAUCAGGCCUUUGCAGCUUUAUGCUGAUGGGGGUUACCAGCUGAGAAUUAGGCGUCUUGAGGGUACCCCUAAUUAUGGUCCCCGACAGUAGCCCCCGAGCCUCGAAGGGAGUGAUAGCACUCGCUUGGAGGCUUUCGUCGCACUUUUUUGCAAGGGGACCAGCCUUUCUCGGUUGCAUUUUGUUCCGGUGGGUGCGCGCGAGCGCACCCGCCGGGUGUAGCCCCCGAGGCCUCGGAGGAGUGGUUACACUCCUUCGAGGUCUUAAUGCCUCGCGUAAUGCUUCGGCUGGUCUGGUCGUUCCCUCAUGCGAACUGGUCGUAGCCCGGGUGCACGGUCGGGGCCCAAGCUCUCGGGCUGGUAUGUUGACGCUGUCAACGGUUUGGCCGGAGCCGGUUUUUGCGAGAGCAGCCCCCGAGCCUCUGCACAGGGCGAGAGGACGAUCAAGGACAGACUCGACUUUUUACAUACGCCCCUACGUCGCCUUUCCGCAAGGAGGAGGGGGGGAGUGCGCCAUGUUACCCUCGAUGGGCACCGAACAUGGUGUCUCCGGUGAGCUGCAAGCGGGUAAUCCGAGUGGACGUCCGUGCCCCGUUCGUUGGGGGUCGGCUAGGGGCCCAGAGGCACGCCCAAAAGUACCUGCGGGUGAUUUGCCGGACCCGGUCCCCUGGCGACGGGGUCCGAGGGCUCGAUGCCUCCCUCCGAUGGGAUUCCGUUACAAGAUCGUUCCCGCUGGUCUCGGAAAUGUCCUAGGGUACCUCGGGAGCGCAGCCCGAGCCUCGGUUAUGUAUCGAACGUACCCCUGGUCAUCCCUCGCUCGGUGUCUGAGGCGACUGUGAACCCUUCGGGGGCCAGCCUUCGAACCCCUGAUCAGUAAUGGGCGCGGAGCCCGAGUAGCCUGAGGCGGCCAUGGAACCCUUCGGGGGGCUGGCCUUCGAACCCCUGACCAGUAGUGGGUGUCGGGCCCACGCGAUCUGAGGCGACUGUUGAACCCUUCUGAGGGCCAGUCUUCGAACCCCUGAUCAGUAGGGGGGCUCGGAGCCCGGUUCCUUCGCGGAGAAGGAUCCUUUCCGGGGUAUCCCCCUUUCCCGGUCCCUGUUGCAAGAGAUAGAGAAAGAGGAAAAAGGAAAAGGAUACGAAAUCGAACGACGUGGCGUACCUCUUUUUGACGCGGUUAUUACGGCGAAGGCGAAGCGUCGCGCGCUUCUCCCGCCAGAGGCGCCGCGUGUCCCGCCGCGGAGUUAAUGCGACAGGGCGAGUGGUUGGCGGGGUGGCCGUUACGCGUGCGCGAGCCGUUUGAGGAACGGCUGUACCGCUUCGCGCUUUUUGAAUCCCGCGUCCGGUCCAGGCGGUGUGCUGGAAACGGUUUCGCCCUGGCCUUCAUAUACUUGAGAGGGGGUCCGGUGACGGUUCUUCGCUCUGCUCCCUUCUUUUCCCUUUAGGUUUUCGCAACCCGGGAAACUGUAGUUGGAGAAGAGAGAAACCGCUCUCCCUGCCCCCCGCGCCGCCAUCUUCUCCAUUUUGGUGAUGGCGGAUCGAGUGACCAUAAUCCCCCCGCGCGAUCCGUGGCCCUUCUCCACGGUGACGGCGAGUGAUCUGGAGGAGCUGGUCGGCGAAGGUUUGCUCCGCCCCCUCACCGACAAGCAGCGGCCAGAGUGGAUUCCUCCCGUGGGCGGAGCCGCUACGUCCCCACCGCCGGGGUAUGUCGUGAGCUUCGUCUCCUUCCAUGAGCGGGGAUUUGGUGUGCCGACGGGCCGCUUUAUGCGGGCCAUCCUAUUCCACUACGGGGUGGAGUUGCACAACCUCUCCCCCAACUCCAUCUCGCAGGCCGCUAUCUUCGUAGCGGUAUGCGAAGGAUACUUGGGGAUCGCUCCUCAUUGGGAUUUGUGGACUCAUCUCUUCCUCGCCGAGCCUUUCGCCUUGUCGACGGGGGAGAGGAGGAUCCGUGCAGCGGUGCGGGCCGGCGGCUGCAUUCUCUUGUUGAGGCAGUCGCGGGCGCUGCAGUACAUUCCUGCCAUUCUUGCGUCUUCGAACAAGGGGUGGCAGCGCCGGUGGUUCUACCUCCGGAAUGACGGAGAGUUGCUCCCACCGUUUUCCCAGCGAGUAGUUACGGCUGCCACCGACGCCUGGCGCCACGGGACCCCGCACGAGAGGCAGAAGAAUCUCGAACCCCUUCUCCAGGCCCUGAAGGAGUUGCGGGAGGGGGGACUUACCGCUGCGGGAGUGAUCGCCGCUAUCCACCGUCGGAGGGUGCUUCCAUUGGCGGAGCGGCGGCUGCCGCUCUGGGAGAUGACCCCGGAGUCUGACUGGGAGGGCUCACGAAUGUCCCCUGAUCCUCUCCCCUUCAACGCCCUCCAAUGGCGGGUGUCGGCUGCGAUGGGGAAGCCGGACCCCCACGCAUACUCCCAGCUUCGGAUGCGCCCCGACCAGGGGUGUGUGACUUUGGUGAGUGUUCGCUCCUUCCUUCUUCGUAUAUCGGGUCGCUCCGGGUCCUUAUGAUCGGGUUCCUUUCUCCCCUCCUUUUAGGAUGUGGGGUGGCACAAACCCUCCCAGCCACGGGUCCCGGAGGACGCGGUGGACCGUGCAGCGCGGCGGGUCGCCGCGGAGGAGAAGAAGAAAAAGAAGGACGCGGAGAAGGCCCGGGCCCGCGAGCGGAGGCGGGCUCGGGACGCCUUGGAGAAGCGUCGUCGCCAGCAGGAGAGGGACGGACUCCCGAGGGAGCCGUCGCCGGAGACGCCCGACGACGAUGAUGACGAUGAUGAUGAUGAAGAGGAUGACAUGGUCGUCCGUCUCGGCCUCAGCCCCAGCUUGGGGUGUGGCCAGGAGCCGCCGAGCCAGCCCCCGAGCGGGCCGACUCCGUCAGCCCCCGAAGUCGGGGCGUCGGGCUCCCGACCCGAGGCACGGGGGCGAACCGAGAGGUCACCUGACCCCUCAACCGGAGGAGCUGAGGCAGCUCCGGUGGUCCAGGCCAAGGCGUCUGUUCCCCAGGGGCCACCGCUCGUGUCGGUGGCGCAUGGGGGUGACCCUCAAGUCGUCGCGGCCGUGCCCGGGGAAUCCGCUUCCCGGGCACCCCAAGCAAGGGUGGUGCCGAAGGUGCCGGCGAAGCGGACCUCGGCGGCUGUUUCGGGAGCCGGGAUCCAAGAAGGCUCCCCCCAGGCGCUGUGGAUCAUGGCCCGAAGUGGGUGAGUAUCUCGGAAUGUCUUCGUCUUGGCUUCCCAUUCAUAUGUCUCGAUCGUGAUCUUUCUUUCCUCCUCUCUUUUUUUAUAUCCAGCAAGCGAAGUCAUGGCCAGACCGACCUGGCACCCCGGAAGGCCCUCAAGACGGCGCCGAACUGUGUGGCCAGCGCCAUUCCACCGACCCUUUCGCGGGGUACUUCACCACCGGGGGCUCGGGCGUCGCCAAUCUCUGAGGAGCGGGCUCCCGAGGCCGGCUCUUCAACCGAGGCGGCUAUCGUGGUUGAGGAGGCGGCUGACGCCCACGCGGCCCUGAGUUCGCCUGUCGUGCCGGUCAUGCCGGCGCCUGCCACCGCCGAGGUUGCCGCCGUCCCUGUCGAAGGGCGUCCAGUUGCCGCCAGCGUCGGGAUGGCUGAUGCGUCGGCGCCCAAGACUCCAGAAGAGGUGGGCGUGGACGCGCAAUCCGUCCAGCCGGGCGGCAGCCUCAUCACUGUGCGGCGGAGCCCCGAGGCCCGGCGCCCGUUGCUCCGAUUCUGGACCCGCGAGGCCUCGGACCCCGUCUUCGUUCUCGAUGAUGAGCAGGAGGACCAGUCCUGGGGUGAGCUCCGCGAGUGCGCAGAGGCAACGGUGGGGUCGCUCCGGUCGUCGCUGGAGGUUUUCUGCAGAGACGUCCCCAAAAUCCUCUAGGUAGCGGUUUCGGGCAUACCUUUUUUCCUUCUGUGGGCGAGACACUCGUCGUGAUGCCCUAUUUCCUUUCCCCAGGAUCUGUCGGACCGGAGCGCCGCCAAGUCGUCGCUCAUCCGCCGCGAGGUUGAUGUCUGGGGCUCGCUGCGAUCCCUGAGGUCCUCGCUCGCCGGGGCUACCGCGCGCCUUUCUCAGCAGGAUGCCAAGGUGGCGGACCUCCAGCUGCUCUGCGCCGACCUGAGAGCCGAGGCGGUUGCAGUGCGUGCGGAGACGCAACGGCAGCGAUCGGAGCUCGCCCAGGUCGUCGAGGAACGGGACCGAUCUCAGGGCCGGGCUGCCGAGGCCGAAAGCCGUGCCGAGACCCUUGUGGCUGACUUAGCCGCGGCCCAGGUCGCGGCCUCGGAGCAUCGUGCCCGAGCCGGAGGUACGUCUUGGUCCUCCCUAGUUCUCUUUCUUGUCCGUUUCCUUUGCUUGUGCUUGAGGUAUUUCUCCUGGUUGCUUGCAGAGCUUGAGUCCGCCCUUGACGAGUCCGCCAAGGCGCUUGCUGAGGCACUUGCUGGAGCUGCCGAGCAGAGGGAUGCGGACCUUGCGGCCAUGUCCGAGGCCGUCUCGGACUUUUAUCGUGUCCUCGGCUCCGGCGACGUCCCUUCAGGAAGCUCCCCUCAGAGCCGCCUUCGAGCCUUGGGUGAUCACGCGCGCGGCAGAGUCCGCGAAGCGCUACACCACGGUGUCAGGCGGGCCUUCGCCGUGCUUGCUUCCCACUACGUUGUGGACCUGGAGCGGGUUAGUGAGGGGUACUGUCUUCCUGACGAAGACGAUGCUGCCCUAGCGGAGGUCCAACGGCUCGACGCGGUCGCCGCGGGUCCGAGCGCGGUGCUGGCGACCACCUGUGAGGCGGAGAUCCUUCCCCCUGCGACGUUACCGGAGGCCGAGAUGGACCCCACCGACGGCGGGGAUGGAGCUGAGGGCGCGGCUCCUUCCCAAGGCGGCGCCUAAUUCUUGUUUGAACAGUUUCUUGUUGGAUGUGCGUCUCACCGCGGCUGCUGAGGCCUGAACACUUUGUCUUUCUUGCAUGGAGUCGUACUCUCCUUUCUUUCCAUCUGCAUGUUCGUCCUGGCUUGUCAAUAAUAGGGUGGCUUCUCGAGUCGGGCCAUUCUUCGUGGCAGGUGAUGAGUGAGGUAUCCCUAACCCGGAGGCACAGGAGCUCCUCGGCUCAGUCGGCCUUGCCAUUUACAUGUACCCGCGUUCGCUCCUCGAGACCCUGCUUCUGACAUAGCCGGGAGAACGUAGCCAGGAGGACGCAAGAGGCCCCUUUUUUGAUUGAAAAUUUUUGACACGGAGAAGUAUGCCCGAUCUUGACGCAGAGGGGUUCCCCCUUUUUAGCCCCCGAGGGAGGGUCGGGCUCUGCCAAGGCGAGGCCGACCCUUCCUUGAUGACCGAGGCGCAGAGGCUGUCUGACGGAUCGGGCUCCGGCCCGGAUAUCCAGCGAGUGUUUGGCGACAUCCCUCGGUAUGUCGGGCAUGUCCGAGGGACUCCGCGCAAGGACGUCGGCGUUUGCGCGGAGAAAGUCGACGAGCACUGCUUCCUAUUUGGGGUCGAGCCCGGAACCGAUCCGGAUCUGCUUGGCGGUGUCGCCACUGGGGUCAAGAGGGACGGCCUUAACCGUCUCUGCUGGCUCGAAGUUGCCGGCAUGGCGCUUCACGUCUGGCACCUCCUUGGAGAGGUUCUCCAGGUCGGCGAUGAGGGCCUCGGACUCGGCGAGGGCCUCGGCGUACUCCACGCACUCCACGUCGCAUUCGAACGCGUGUUUGUACGUGGGGCCGACGGUGAUGACCCCGUUGGGGCCCGGCAUCUUGAGCUUCAGGUAGGUGUAGUUGGGGACGGCCAUGAACUUCGCGUAGCAUGGCCUCCCUAGUACGGCGUGGUAGGUUCCUCGGAACCCGACCACCUCGAACGUCAGGGUCUCCCUUCGGAAGUUGGAGGGCGUCCCGAAGCAGACGGGGAGGUCGAGUCGCCCGAGGGGCUGGACUCGCUUCCCAGGGAUGAUCCCGUGGAAGGGCGUAGCGCCUGCUCGGAAGGAGGACAGAUCGACGCGCAGGAGCUUGAGGGUCUCGGCGUAGAUGAUGUUGAGGCAGCUGCCCCCAUCCAUCAGGACCUUGGUGAGCCUGACAUUGCCGAGAACGGGGUCGACGACGAGCGGGUAUUUCCCCGGGCUCGGCACAUGGUCGGGGUGGUCGGCCUGGUCGAAGGUGAUGGGCUUGUCGGACCAGUCUAGGUAGACUGGCGCCGCCACCUUCACCGAGCAGACCUCCCGGCGCUCUUGCUUGCGAUGCCGAGCCGAGGCGUUCGCCGCAUGCCCUCCAUAGAUCAUGAAGCAGUCACAGACCUCGGGGAACUCUCCAGCUUGGUGAUCUUCGUUCUUGUCGUCGUCGCGGGCCCUGCCACCCUCGGCGGGUGACCCGGCCCUAUGGAAGUGACGCCGAAGCAUAACGCACUCCUCGAGGGUGUGCUUGACGGGCCCCUGAUGGUAGGGGCACGGCUCCUUGAGCAUCUUGUCGAAGAGGUUUGCACCUCCGGGGGGCUUCCGAGGGUUCUUGUACUCGGCGGCGGCGACAAGGUCCGCGUCAGCGGCGUCGCGUUUCGAUUGCGACUUCUUCUUGCCUUUCUUCUUGGCGCCGCGCGGAGCAGACGCCUCGGGAGCCUCUUCCGAUGGGCGGCCCUGGGGCUGCUUGUCCUUUCGGAAGAUAGCCUCGACCGCCUCCUGGCCAGAGGCGAACUUGGUGGCGAUGUCCAUCAGCUCGCUCGCCCUGGUGGGGGUCUUGCGACCCAGCUUGCUCACCAGGUCGCGGCAAGUGGUGCCGGCGAGGAACGCGCCGAUGACAUUCGAGUCGGUGAUGUUGGGCAGCUCGGUGCGCUGCUUCGAGAAUCGUCGGAUGUAGUCCCGGAGCGACUCCCCCGGCUGUUGCCGGCAGCUUCGAAGGUCCCAGGAAUUCCCGGGGCGCACGUAUGUGCCCUGGAAAUUGCCAGCGAAGGCUUGGACCAAGUCGUCCUAGUUGGAGAUCUGCCCCGGAGGCAGGUGCUCCAACCAGGCACGAGCAGUGUCGGAGAGGAACAGGGGGAGGUUACGGAUGAUGAGGUUGUCGUGGUCCGUCCCACCCAGUUGGCAGGCAAGGCGGUAGUCCGCGAGCCACAGUUCCGGUCUCGUUUCCCCCGAGUACUUCGUGAUAGUAGUCGGGGGUCGGAACCGGGUCGGGAAUGGCGCCCGUCGGAUGGCCCGACUGAAGGCCUGCGGACCGGGUGGUUCGGGCGAGGGACUCCGAUCCUCCCCGCUGUCGUAGCGCCCCCCACGCCUGGGGUGGUAGCCUCGGCGCACCCUUUCGUCGAGGUGGGCACGACGGUCGCGUCGAUGGUGCUCGUUGCCGAGGUGGCCCGGGGCCGCAGGCGCGGUGUUGCGCGUGCGCCCGGUGUAGACCGAGGCUUCCCGCAUGAAUCGGGAAGUUGCGGCGUGAGGUUCCGAGGGAUAUCCCUGCCUUCGGGAGGCAGUGCUCUCGGCCCGUCGGGCCGCAGCGCCUUCCAGGAGAUUCUUGAGCUCUCCCUGGAUUCGCCGACCCUCGGUGGUUGAUGACUCCGGCAUCGCGCGGAGGAGCAUCGCUGCGGCUGCCAGGUUCUGACCAACCCCGCUGGAUGCGGGCGGCGGCCUGACCCUGACAUCGUUGGCGACGCGGUGCUGGAGACCUUGGGGCAGGUGACGUAUUUCUCCGGGCAGGGGUUGGCCCGCCCAUACCUGCCCGACGUCCCGACGGAUCGGCUCAAGCGCUCCUGUUCCCUCGUUGAGCCCGGCCUGCGCCUCGCGGACUUGCUCGAGUUGCGGGUCGUAACCCCCCGCCGGAGCGGGGACCACAGCUAGCUUCCGUGGGAUGUCGGCGCGAGGCACCGGCCUAGGAAGAUCACUGUCCUCCGGCAUGCCGAGAUGGUUGCCUUUGGAGGGAUCCCCUAGCUCGAUGUGGAAACAUUCGCGGCUUGGGCCGCAGCUCUCGUCGCCAAGGCUGCGGCUUCCGUCGGAACAGUCGGAUAGACAGUAGUCACAUGCGGUCAUGAAGUCCCGCAUGGCACUGGGGUUGCCAAGUCCGGAGAAAUCCCAACAAACGCUGGGAUCGUCAUCUUCCUCGGACCCAGAGGGCCCGUAGGUCGAGACGUCCGCCAGCCGGUCCCAAGGCGACCGCAUACGAAACCCCAGUGGGGUUGCACUCGCCUCAAUGAGAGCGCCCGCCAAAGCGAGGUCGUUUGGCGGGUUGAGGCCGAGUCGAAAUGACGUAAGAUGGGAGUUAGUCGGUACCUUUUGGUCGACAAGGAGCGACGUAGUCACAUCGGGGACUGGUUGCACCGUCGUCUCAGGUACGAGGGCGACGUCCUGCAGGCUUUCCGCGAGCGCGCCGGCGUCGUCUUCUUGCUCGGGGUCAGCGUGUCGCGGGGGACGGCGCUUGCCUUCGUCUUGAACGCGAGGUCGACGUCCGGCGUGCCUUCCGUCGGGGCGUCGGGGGCGUCGAUUCGCUCGACGACCAACGAAGCGCGGCCUCCCGCUCUUCCUUGAUGGCCCCGCCUCCUCCUCCGUUGGCGGGGGAGAGAACGGAGCGAGCUCGAAUGUUGCUCUUCCACCACGCGGGGAAGAUGUCGUCGAUUCCGCCGCCGGCGGGCGGGUUGUCGGCCGCCAUUGUCGUCGUCGCGCGGCGGUGGAAGAAGUAUCAUGCCGUAGCUGCCGUCGAAGGACAUGAACUCAAGAGUCCCGAAACGAAGCACCGCCCCGGGCCGGAGAGGUUGCUGGAGACUGCCCAUCUGGAGCUUGACAGGGAGUUGUUCGUCAGCACGCAGCGUGCCCCUACCUGGCGCGCCAACUGUCGGCGUUUCGAGACAGGGGGGUCCCUAAGCCGACGAGUGAGUGUGCUGCGUGCCCCAGCCCAGAUGGGUCGAGCGCGUGGGCGAGCGCGAAGGGGGGAGAGGCGAGGUGGCCGGAGUCGAGUGUGAGAGAGGUGGAAGUCCCGCGGCCUUCGUGUUCGUCCCGCGCCCAGGUCGGGUGCGCUUGCAGUAGGGGGGUUACAAGCGUCCACGCGGGUGAGGGAAGCGAGCGGCCCCAAGAGAGCGUCUGUCCCGUCCUCGGUCCCGCGCGGCCAACCUUCCCUAAGAAGGCCCUGGUCCUCCCUUUUAUAGUCGUAAGGAGAGGAUCCAGGUGUACAACGGGGGGUGUAGCAGAGUGCUACGUGUCUAGCGGAGAGAGAGCUAGCGCCCUAGGUACAUGCCAAUGUGGCAGCCGGAGAGGUCUUGGCACCUUGCUGGCGUGAUGUCGUGGCUGUCGGAGGUGCGACGGAGCCUGGCGGAGGGACAGCUGUUGGAGCGGUCGAGUCCUUGCUGACGUCGCCCUGCUUUCGUAAGAGAGCUGGGGGCCGCCGUCGUCACAGAGCUUGUGGAGCGCCAUCAUUGCCCAUCCGGCGGAGCUGGCCGGAUGGGACGCCGGUCUUGUUCUCCGUGACCCGAGUCGAUUCGGGGUAGGACGAUGAUGGCGCUUCCUGUAGACGUGGCGGGUCUGUGCCCUAGGCAGGGUGACGUGGGGGCUCCUCCGAAGCCGAGGUUGAGUCUGUCUUCUGUUGCCGAGGCCGAGUCCGAGCCAUGGGGUCGGGCGAGGCGGAGGUCGUCCGGCCGAGGCCAGGGCGGAGUCCGAGCCCUGGGGUCGGGCGAGGCGGAGUUUCGUCGUCUUGCGGGUCUUAGCCCGAGUCCGAGCCCUGGGGUCGGGCGGAGCGGAGUUCGCGUCUUCCGGGUCUUUAGCCCGAGUCCGAGCCCUGGGGUCGGGCGGAGCGGAGUUCGCCGUCUUCCGGGUCUUAGCCCGAGUCCGAGCCCUGGGGUCGGGCGGAGCGGAGUUCGCCGUCUUCCGGGUCUUAGCCCGAGUCCGAGCCCUGGGGUCGGGCGGAGCGGAGUUCGUCGUCUUCCGGGUCUUAGCCCGAGUCCGAGCCCUGGGGUCGGGCGGAGCGGAGUUCGCCGUCUUCCGGGUCUUAGCCCGAGUCCGAGCCCUGGGGUCGGGCGGAGCGGAGUUCGCCGUCUUCCGGGUCUUAGCCUGUGUCCGAGCCCUGGGGUCGGGCGGAGCGGAGUUCGCCGUGGCGCCUUUGGCAAGGCCUGACUGCCUGUCAGACUCACUCUGUCGAGUGGCACCGCAGUCGGAGUGGCGCAGGCGGCGCUGUCCUUCUGUCAGACUGGUCAGUGGAGCGGUGGAGUGACAGCGGUCACUUCGGCUCUGCCGAGGGGGCGCGUGUCAGGAUAAAGGUGUCAGGCCACCUUUGCGUUAAAUGCUCCUGCAACUUGGUCAGUCGGUGUGGCGAUUUAGUCAGGGUUGCUUCUGAGCGAAGCCAAGGCCUCGGGCGAGCCGGUGAUGUGUCCGCCGUAAAAAGGGGGGCCUCGGGCGAGACGGAAGUCUCUCGAGGUCGGCUGCCCUUGGCCGAGGCUAGGCUCGGGUGAAGCGUGAUCGAGUCACUCGUGUGGACUGAUCCCUGGCUUAAUCGUACCCAUCAGGCCUUUGCAGCUUUAUGCUGAUGGGGGUUACCAGCUGAGAAUUAGGCGUCUUGAGGGUACCCCUAAUUAUGGUCCCCGACAGUAUGGUAAUUCCAUCAUUCCUGCAUUUGGUGGUACGAGAUACAAACCACACGAUGAAAGAACCACUCUGCGCCUUGCAUUGCAGGUCAUAUAGUUCUCUAGGCUGUUGCUUGCUUAUUUUUCCAUGCUUAUUACUUUGUUUAGCAUCGUCGUACUAUAUUUCCUUAGUCCUGUGCCCCUGUUUCUGAGUGGUGAUAUAUAAUGUUUGACCCUUUCAUAAAUUGUGUUUCAUGUUUUAGUUUAGGUUACUAGAUGUAGGAAAGGGGAUAUCUUGAUUUUUAAGUCAUUUUUACUAAUUCGACUCACUCCUAGAGUUAGUUGGCUCGGUCAAGUCUUACCUUUUCAAACUGUGGAAGUGAUCACUGCUCUUGAUAGCUUGACCUGUCAAACUGUCUACUGGUAUAAAUCAACAAUCUGAGUUAAUGUUUCAUGAGCUCACAAUUGCAAAAAGACUCUUUUUAACACCGAUCAAAACCGUAUUUCAUUACCAAAGUAACGAAAUUACAGAGUUCAACAAGUGCUAUCUUUCUUUUUUCUUCUUCAGCACAUUUGACAUAUUUGGUGAUUGGCAGGAUAUUCACAGCCAAAUUCUGAGGCUAAUCCACCUGAUGGGGUUUUAGCGGUUCCUUUAUUGAGGCAUCAGGUUACCUUGCAACUCAUGUUGUGUUAUUUUAUGAUGAAAAAUAGUAUUACCACUCCUUUGUUAACGGUUAAUACUUCGGACAGAAAAUUUCCUUGUCAUGGAUGGUGAAAAAGGUCGUUAUCGUCAUCUCUGUGUGCCUCUACUUGCUUUGGUGCACAAUUAUUGGAGUCUAAUUCAAACUGCACAUGCGAAAUUCUAUCGAUGCACUACUUUUUAGUGAUGAAUUAAAAAAAAGGUAAACUUGAGCAAUGAAUCUCUGUUGUGGGUUUUUUUCCUUGGUCACCUUGGGAAGUUGAGUUCAGACGAACAUUGUUCUUGUUCCUACGAGAACACGAUUGCUUACUUGCAAAAUCAUGCGUGGAUGUUGGAGGAUUAGUCAGUAGUUCAUCAGCAAGUAAUUUAAUUCGUAACGUUUAUUUAGUACAGGACAGGUGGGGUGUUGUUACUAGCAUGGGAAGGGAACCUUUUUAUAUAAUCUAGCCUGCAACGAACAAGAAUCGCUCUAGCUUAGAUCCCCAAUUAUUUUGGAACACGAUUAAAUAGGGUUUUCUCCAUGUCCUUUGCGGAUGAUACUAUCUCCUAUCAUAGUUUAAGACUGUAUGCUCUGGCUUGUCAACAAAAAUAAGGCUACAUUUGAGGUUCACUUAGUCUGCAAACUAGCGCGUGAUCCCUCAUGGCCGAAAGCCUGAAAGUGUGACAAAGACAAUACCUGCUUCAAAACAUUUUCGGUUCAUGUCAGGGGUUCACAUGGUUUCUACUUCGGGGGCGUCUAUGGAUCACACAAGCCAUGUGAAAACUGUAGUGACUAGAUGUUCGCCUUGUUGGGAAUUUUGUGUUCAUGUGUUCCGUAUUAUUUUAUGCAGGCACUGGAAUUAACAAGCUGGAUUACCUUGCAACGAUGGAUUUGGACCCCGACUCUCCUACAUACUCCCAGGUGAUCCACAGGCUCCCAGUCACCCACAUCGGCGAUGAGCUGCAUCACUCUGGCUGGAACUCGUGCAGCUCCUGCCAUGGUGAUCCAUCAGCAAAGCGUCACUUCCUGAUCCUUCCUUCAUUGUUGUGAGUAUAGAAUAAGUGGACAUGGUCUGAAUCAAUUGAAUGAAUCGGCUGCUGACCUCAGGACUGAGAAUAUGUGGUGUGGCUUCAAUGGUUAUUUGCAGGUCAGGACGUUAGUAUGUUGUUGACACAGCGACAGACCCGAGAGGGCACCAUCCUUGCAUAACGUGUUUGAGUCUAAGGACAUUGCUGAGAAGACUGGGAUUGGCUUUCCUCACACGUCUCAUUGCCUUGCAUCUGGUGACAUUAUGAUUUCUUGCCUUGGGGACAAGGAGGGGAAUACAACUGGCAAUGGCUAAUAUUAUUCACUGAACAACCUUCGGUCAACAGGAGUGCUUGCUCGUGUGUCCUAAGGCCUAGAUAUCAUUCUCCAUGUUCGAGGAGGCCAGAAUUCAUCUCUUUGUGGAAUCCUGCUUUCCUCUGCAUGCACAUUAUUGUUUCACAGGACAAUGCUACAGUUACACUCUUGUCUAAUUUGCACGUAUCAUUUUUUGCAGCUUGGUGCUGGGACCUCACUGCCAGGAUUAGUAGCUGCAAAGGUUGGGGCAGAUGUAACACUAACAGACAUUGCGCAGAAUGCAGAAGUGAGUUCCAAUCCAUCUUUGGAAUCCUUAUCGUCUUUGGAAUCCUUAUCGUUUGAUCCUUGUCAGAGUUUUUCAGUUUGGUUGAUUUCCUUCUUGUUUUUACUGACUGUAGGUACUGAACAACAUCAGAAGCAUAUGUGCUCUCAAUGACGCCAAUUGUACUGUAUGGUUUUGAUUUCACGUACAGAGCUGACUGCCUGCUUCUUCCCUGGGAUUGUGUUCAUCAUCCUCACUGUGCUUAACUCCAUUCUGUGGGGCAAGAAGAGCACUGGAGCUCUACCCAUCUCACUGUUCUUCACCCUCCUGGCCCUGUGGUUCUGCAUCUCUGUGCCACUCACACUUAUUGGAGGCUUGCUAGGCACACGUGCUGCAAGCAUCGACUACCCUGUCCGAACCAACCAGAUCCCACGAGAGAUUCCUGAGCGCAAGUUCCCCUCAUGGUUGCUUGUGCUCGGUGCGGGAACAUUGCCAUUUGGUACUCUCUUCAUUGAGCUCUUCUUCAUCCUUUCCAGCAUUUGGUUGGGAAGGUUCUACUACGUCUUUGGCUUCCUGUUCAUUGUCCUCUUCCUGCUGGUCAUAGUCUGUGGUGAGGUUUCUCUGGUCCUGACCUACAUGCACCUUUGCGUGGAGGACUGGAAAUGGUGGUGGAAGGCCUUCUUUGCUUCUUGCUCUGUCGCAUUCUAUGUGUUCCUCUACUCUAUUAACUACCUGGUGUUCGAUCUCAGGAGCCUGAGCGGACCAGUUUCUGCCACACUCUACCUUGGCUAUUCCCUGAUCAUGGCCCUUGCAAUCUUGCUCUCCACUGGCGCCAUUGGUUUCCUGCUCUCCUUCUACUUCGUGCACUACCUCUUCUCGUUUGUGAAGAUUGAUUAGAGGUGUGCCCCGCUGCCUCUUUCUGCAAUAGAGUCAUCUGAUCAUGGUAAUAGUUACCCUCCUAGAAAUACUACACAAUAAAUCAAAUGGAAAAAAUGGAUACAUGGCAACGCCCAUGGCUUUUGGUCAUGAUUAAUUCAAUCAUUUAGCUCAGCACAGUCACUCAAGUUGAAACUUAAUUCUUAGGAAUGAUUGUAAGUUCUUCAGCUAUGUUUAUUGCACUUUGUAAUACCAUUCAGUUUUGCUUGCUCUGGGCAUUUGUGAGCAGCCUUUGGUUUUGGAACACUUGAGAUCUAUUCAAUAUGAAAAUGAAGCUAUUCAUUUACAGUUCGUUACUAUUCUGGGAAGGUUAUAUUGUAACAUGGUUGCCACAUUAGCUGCGAUGCUCGUUGUUCGUUAAUAGUAACACCAAUACGGCUGAUUCUUUUACGAAGUGAAAUCUUGCUGACUAUUUAGUCAAUUGAUAUACAUGCUACUGAAAUAGUCCGAGCACGCCUGCAGUGGACCGAAAGCCAUCCGUUUGGACUGUCAUCGUAAGGGUGUUCUUUUAAUUAAAAGAAACUCAUGGGGAGCAUCGUCGUUCGAAUAGCCUAUGCAUGCAAGAAAAAACAGAAAAUGUUAGCAGAUAUGUACUCUUUUGUGACAUCUGUAAAGAACAUGUUGGUUUCCUGAAAAAAGGUGCAGAAUGUCCUUUUCUUGAUGUAUUCGAAAAAAUGAGCUAAAUGCAUAACUUUACACAACUUAACUUCUUUAAAUUUCUUUGUUGAGAUCCCCGUUUACCCUUCUUUUGCGAGAUUUUUUUUAUUUUGAUGCUGAAACCUUACAGGUUAAGUAAAUGAUCCAGGUUUUUGAACUUCUUGCCAUUUUUGUGUUGUUACUGGCUUACUGCACAGCAUUCGUUUCCUGCUCAGCAAUGAAGAGGGGGAAUAAAUUGUCAAGUAAACUGGUACCAGAAGUUGAGAACCACAAAAGGCGACAGAAACGCAACGGAUAAAAAUAUGUUUUCUAAAUAGCAAUAACCAAAUGCGCCUGUAGCUCAUAAAUUGCAGAAGGUCGUAGGUCGUAGGUUCGACCCCUACCUGGCGCGAUAUUCUUUUUUCCCGUUUUUUUUUUUUUGUUUUUAUUUCUUUGGUGCUAAAUUAUGUAUAAACUAGGUAGGUGCCUGUGCGAUGCCACGGAACAUAAAUUGUGAACCUCUAAUGGACUUUAUUUGAGACAAGUGAUGCCCAAGAAAAUGGGGGUAAAAUGACACAGCUAUCACUUGCAUUACUUGCCCUAUGCGCAGAAGAAUCUGACAUAGCUAUCACCCAUGAAGAUUUCCAGUUAACUUGUGGAACUGAACUUCAUUUGAGACAAGACAAUAAUACCAGUGUUGAGCUUGCCACUCGGCCAUGGCACAUACGAGAACACGGGAUGAUCAAGUAAGAGCUGAACAGAAUGCACUAAUACAAAAGGCUGGCUUGCGUUCGCUUCCUUGCUCCACAGGAAGCAUAACCGAUAUACAAAUCGAGAAGUUCGCAAUUUAUGUUCCGUGGCAUCGCACGGGCACUUACUGCAUGUCACGCACACAGGACGAUACAUGCACCAUGUGAUAACAAUUGUACUGCUACAUGCACAGAAACACAUAUAAGCAGGUUUCAACACCAAUUGGUGGGCAAUGUGGUACUAAAUUUAUCUUGCAAAAAUAUUAAGACAGCCAUAUACGCCGUGUGAGGCCCAUCUGCCGAUUUGUGUUUGCGAGGCCCAUCUAUCGAUUUGUGUUCUGCGAGGCCCAUCUCCGUGAAACCCUGUCCCCGCCCGCGGCCUCCAGCCCUGCGCGGCUGCGCCCCCGCCCGCAUGCUCGCCUUGCGCCGCCGCCCCCGCAUGCUCGCCUUGCGCCGCCGCCCUCUUGUUCGCCUUCGUUGCGGUCGCGGCCUCCAGUGUCCAGCGCCACCGCCGCUCCACCACCGCCGCUCCAUCUUCUAUCCCGCCGGCAACCUCCAGCCCUGCGCCAUCCCCAUUUGUGCGGCCUCUACCGUCCCCACCCCCGCACAGUUCGUGCAACCGUCUCCCCCUCUUCAGUCCCCACGUCGUCCACUACUGCAUGCUUCCUCCCCACGACCUCCACUUCCUCAGACACCUUAUAGAGCUCGAUGAAGAUAAACCGGGAGCAUGUGUGGACUCUAUCUCGUCCGAGCACGCGUUUUCACCAGAGUCGGGUUCCUGUACCACGCCGCCGCGCCGGGCCUCUACAGUGUCCGAGCGCGCCUGCAGUGGACCGAGGGUGCGCUCAGCAGAGGCGAGGAGGGGCUUGCUCGGCCGACAACCGGGACUGCGCAGGCUACAAGGGGAGUAGUGAAGAUCGACGGCGAGUUGCUCCACGACUGGUCUCUCCCGCUUGAGGAGUAAGGUAGUUUUUUUAUUUAGAAUCAAGACUAGUAGAGCGAUUCUCUAGGCUGUUGCUUGCUUAUUUUUCCAUGCUUAUUACUUUGUUUAGCAUCCUCGUACUAUAUUUCCUUAGUCCUGUGCCCCUGUUUCUGAGUGGUGAUAUAUAAUGUUUGACUCUUUCAUAAAUUGUGUUUCAUGCUUUAGUUUAGGUUACUAGAUGUAGGAAAGGGGAUAUCUUGAUUUUUAAGUCAUUUUUACUAAUUCGACUCACUCCUAGAGUUAGUUGGCUCGGUCAAGUCUUACCUUUUCAAACUGUGGAAGUGAUCACUGCUCUUGAUAGCUUGACCUGUCAAACUGUCUACUGGUAUAAAUCAACAAUCUGAGUUAAUGUUUCAUGAGCUCACAAUUGCAAAAUCAUGCGUGGAUGUUGGAGGAUUAGUCAGUAGUUCAUCAGCAAGUAAUUUAAUUCGUAACGUUUAUUUAGUACAGGACAGGUGGGGUGUUGUUACUAGCAUGGGAAGGGAACCUUUUUAUAUAAUCUAGCCUGCAACGAACAAGAAUCGCUCUAGCUUAGAUCCCCAAUUAUUUUGGAACACGAUUAAAUAGGGUUUUCUCCAUGUCCUUUGCGGAUGAUACUAUCUCCUAUCAUGUUCCUUGAAUCCCCUAAAUUUUUAUGAGCUACAUUUUUAUGUUGUUGGAAUAUGUCGUUUCAGCAAUGUACAGAUUUUAAGGCUUCCAAGCCUCAAUCUUACAGUUACCCCCUCAAUGUAACUGAGCAUUUGUUCAUUUUCUUGGCAAAUUUAGUGCUUCCGUGAUCAGGAUUUACUUGUAUGACACUACUUCAUGCAAGCAAGCUUAGCCUUAUGUAAAGUGACCAUUCAAUUUUAGGAAAUAAUGCAGUAGUAUGGUAACUAUGGUUGGUGGUAUUUGAGACAUUGGGGUAUGACAAGACUUGCCAUCUUCUUAUCCUUUUUUGCAUGGCCGGUAACACAUGGGUGAAGCAGUUUAACUUAUCCUUUUAAAGCUAUGUACAGAUUUAAGGUCUCCCUAAUUCCAAGCUUACAGUACGCCUUCAAUGUAACAACAUAUAUUUCAUUUGCUUGGUAACUUGGCUGCUUACCGCGGUCAGGGUUACUUGUACUAUUGCACUACUCCAUGUCAGCAGACUUUUUUUUGGUAAAGCUGACCAUUCAAAACUAGGCACCAAUGCAAUAUAUCAUGAUUGAACAAUUUAAGCUAUCCAGUUUUAUUUGCUUUCAACGCCAUACUUAAACUACGUGCUUUCCUGGAAAUCUGGUGUAUGGCCUUUGGAUCCAGCAACCAAUUGUCCUAAAAUCUAAUGCAUGGUCUUUGGAGUAUCAUUUUCGUUGUUUCUUAGUGGUAACUUGGCUGCUUACCGCGGUCAGGGUUACUUGUACUGUUGCACUACUCCAUAUCAGCAGACUUUGUUUGGUAAGAAGCUGACCAUUCAAAACUAGGCACCAAUGCAAUAUAUCAUGAUUGAACAAUUUAAGUUAUCCGGUUUUAUUUGCUUUCAACGCCAUACUUAAACUACGUGCUUUCCUGGUCAGUUUGUGUUUAUUUCAAAUAUUUGUUUAUUACUGAGCUAGCAAAUAGCAAUGAUUAGUUUCUCAAAACAUGUAGUGUGUUGUGUUGCUGCAUCAGAAUUGAGAAUGAUCUUUGAAUAUGUUCAUAUAGUUGUCACCUACUUACCAUUGUGUUUUCUUAGAGUUAAUAUUUGCUUCUCUACUUACCAUUUUGUUUUUCUCAGAGUUAAUCCCAAGCAGUGCAGACUCUCAAGCAUCAGUGUUGCCUUUUUCUUCUUGUGCCCACAAGUAUGGAGCAUCUGUCUUUUACAACCUCGUGUUGCUUCCAGUAUACUGUCUUUCCAUGAAUUAUGUCUACCUUUGAAUUUUGGAAAUUAUAGAGUAAUAUACUUUAUUGCUGAUCCCAGACAUCUAGGUGGUCCAUUUAUGGAUAUGUAGUUCUUUGCUUGGCACACAAUCUUCCUUGUACUGUUUACUAAAUUUAGGUGGACAAACAAAAUGCUUCUGUAGUUUUCUUUGUCCAUUAGCAAAAUAACAAGUAUUAUCAGCUUUGAUGAAUGUUAAAUAUUGAUGAGAAAAACUAUGAAACAUCUUAUUAUGUAACCUAAUCUAAGAUUAUUAUGGGAGCGAGUGGGAUUGUCAUUGAUUCAGUAACCUUAAUAUGAUGUUCUCUUCGACUUGCCUUUCUGCUCACCUGGUCAGUUUGUGUUUAUUUCAAAUAUUUUGUUCAUUACCGAGCUAGCAAAUAGCAAUGAUUGGUUUCUCAAAACAUGUAGUGUGUUGUGUCGCUGCAUCCGAAUUGAGAAGGAUCUUUGAAUAUGUUCCUAUAGUUGUUACGUACUUACCAUUGUGUUUUCUCAUCAACAUUUAACAUUGUAUAGCAGUUUUGUCAUCAUUGUAUAGCAGUUCUGUCAUCUUAGUUUGGCGUUGCUAUGAAAAUUCUGAUAGAGAAUACCAGUUUCUUUUCUCAGAAUGUGAAUACUUAUGUUUUCUAUAAUAAUCAUGGGUCGUUGUGACUAUCCAGGGAAAUUCGGAAUUGUGUUCGCCUCAAUUUCUGUACCCAUCUUUGCAGCUCUGUAUUGUCCAACAAAACUUUGGUUAGUGCUUUCAUGCUUUCAUUUUGUGUUCUUAAUACUAUUUCUUUUAUUAUAUUGAAUAUUUGAAUGACUUGUUCUACUAUUACAGUUUGAACAUGUUUUGUUAUGUCAUGUCUAUUACCAAAUUGUAAAAGCAAAUGAAUUGUAUUGAGAACAAAUUUAAAUUAAAAUUCCAACUAAUAUAUAUGGACAUGACAAAUUUGUGUGUAUUAGGGGUAUUUAUUGGGGUAUGAAGUUUAUAUACAAGCAUGCUUCCGGUAUAUAGAGGUUGAUGCUAAAUGAUAGUUGAAAGGAUUAGCUGGUAGUAUGCUUUCUGUACGGUGCACUUGCACCUGUGCAACUUCAUUCUUCUUCGCUUCUCUUAAUUCUUCUUUCUAUGUCUACAGUUCAAUACAAAGCGAAACACCCUUAAGUGAGACUAGGUGUGUGCUCGUGCGUUGCCACGAGAGUUAAAGAUUAGUAUAAAAUAUAGAUAUGGAACGAUAAACAUCACUAUGAUAUUCAAAAUUCAUAUGAUAAAAUAUCACGUAACACUAAUAUCAUGAACUGAUGUCGAAUAAACAUUAUGAGAAGUCGAACAACCAUGCUAAAAUAUUUAUUCACAAGUACGACCAAGUACAGUUCAAGGAACAAAUAACAAUCUUUUCUCAUGAAAUGAAAUAAAAAGGGGCAACACAUACAGACACCUGACCGGACUUCAGAAGCUAGCUCCAGCUUAAACCAGCUAUAGAACUCCCCACCUUUCAUCAUGCUGAUCAUCAGGCUUUAUCUGAGAUGUCAUACAGACACAUACAGAUUUUUCUCUGGUUUCUAUUGAUGCAGAACCUUCUCAUCUGCAUGUCAUCUGGCUUGACAUGUUGCAUAGGCUUCUCCAAUCCAUAAGAAUGAAGUAUAAACGCUAUUGUUUGGUGCACUGCCAACCUUUGCUUUGCUGGAAUUAAGUCCUAUGAAAG
rnacentral:lncRNA from 1 species